AAAAUUAUUUUUCUUCCCUUUCCUCUCAUUUGUACAUUCCCGAUUGUGCUGCUCCCAUGCGCUACUUGUACACUUCUCAUACCCGCCAUGCAACCUCAUCAUUAUUCUACAUUUGCUCUUCUCUGCUCUGCUCAUAAUUCUAUCUUUCCAAUCGAAUAGGUAAGAUAUCCAACUCAGCAAGUUUCUGGGUUUUUCCUGUUGCAGUCCAAAGUAAUGAACUUUAAUCUGAAUCUAGCCAUAUGACUGCCUAACCGUCUCUUUUCUGGAUGUUAGUUUCCAAUUAUGUAUGUAGGACACUUGCCAAUUUCAGUUGUGCUGGGAGUUGUGUUUAUUCAAAGUGUCACACUUGUUUAAAUUGUUGCUAAUUUGAUUUGGGUUUUUGUUGGUUAAUCUUUUGAACUAUUCUCUUUGGCUAUUGAAUUGUCGUUAAGACGCCUAAUCCUUUCACCAAGACUUGGAUGUUUAUGGACUCCAGGUGAAAUGCCCAUAAAAGCUUUGCAUAUCGAUUUGCUUCUUUACGUGGCUGAACUAUUUUUUUGAAUCCUUGACAAAAAUUUCAAGUAGCUUGUUGUGUCGUGUGUGUGUGUGGAGCUUGGUAGUAUAUGAAGUUUUUCGUCUUUGAAGUUUUAAAUUAGAGAUUUUUAAGAGUUACUGAUUUCGUGAAGAGUGUCUUUAGGUGUCUUCUUAUCAAUGACAUAUAAUUACAUUGAAUUUCUAGUGUGAUAGCUUGAAGUGGAAUCCAAAUACCGGAAGAAGAUUGAUUGGUUCAAGUAGAGAGAUUUUCCAGUGUUCUGUACAGAGAAGGUCAAUAACAUUGUCAUGGGUACAUGCCAAGAAGGAACAAUCUCAAACAGCCAAUUGGUUGAAGCAUCUGCUGUUAUGGUAAUAAUACAUUCUUUUUUGUUUUCUUUCUUGAGCGAAAUCAAUUCGAAUUAGGAUUCAUUACUUGGGGCUUCACCAUUCAGGGACCAAUUUGGGCCAAUCUCCUCAAGGUCUUUGGAUUCAAAGGCUCAAUCUUGCUGCACUCCAUGUGCUACUAACGAUAGUUGCCAGAUUGUUAAAUCAAGAACGAAACUUAUGAACAUCUUGAUUCAAAGACGGAAGCCUAGAGAAGCAGAAUCCAUUUUCGACGGCCUAAUGGAAGAAGGCCAUAAGCCUACUCUUCUAACCUACACAACACUGGUUGCUGCCUUAACUCGGCAGAGACGUUUCAAGUCCAUCCUCUCACUCAUAUCUAAAGUGGAAGAGAAUGGGAUGAAACCUGACUCUAUACUGUUCAAUUCGAUCAUCAAUGCCUUUUCCGAAUCAGGAAAUGUAAAAGAUGCUAUGAAAAUCUUCCAGAAGAUGAAGAGUAAUGGAUGUAAGCCCAACACGAGCACCAUCAACACUCUGAUCAAAACAUACGGAAAUGCUGGGAAGCCAGAAGAAGCUUCGAAAUUGUUGGAGUCGAUGUUACAGGAUGAAAAUGUGAAGCCAAACCAGAGGACAUACAAUAUCCUAGUUAGAGCUUGGUGUAACAAGAGAAACAUCGACGAGGCCUGGAAUGUGGUGCACAAGAUGGUUGCAGCUGGUUUGAAGCCGGAUGUAGUCUCAUAUAACAUACUAGCAAAGGCUUAUGUUCAAAUAGGCAUGACAGACAAAGCUGAGGAUUUGUUGUUUGAGAUUCGGAGAAGUGGAUUGGCGCCAAACGAGCGUACCUGUGGUAUCAUUGUGAACGGCUAUUGCAAUGAAGGUAAUAUGGCGGAAGCCUCGAGGUUUGUAUACAGGAUGGAGAAGCUUGGCGUGCAUCCCAAUUUGGUCAUCUUCAACUCUCUUAUCAAAGGUUUUGCAAGUAUCAUGGACAAGGAUGGAGUGGAGGAGGUCAGUUUCGGAACCAUUGAAGACACUAUUUCUUAGUUCUAACUUCUAUGCUGUUGUAUUUUGUUGAGUCUUCUGAAUUUAUGACCAUGUCGUCAUGAACCGUUGCAUCUCAAUAACUCGAGUUGUUAGGAGAAGGUUAACUAUGGAUCUUAUACCAUUCUCUUACACAUGUUACAGGCGCUUGAUGCCAUGGAGGACUAUGGAAUCAAGCCGGAUGUGGUAACAUUCAGCACAGUAAUGGAUGCAUGGGGUUCUGCAGGACUCAUGGACAAAUGCCAGGAAAUCUUCAAUGACAUGUUGAAAGCAGGCAUAGAACCUGAUAUCCAUGCAUUCAGCAUUCUCGCUAAGGGUUAUGUUCGAGCUGGAGAACCAGAGAAGGCUCUGUCAGUACUGGCUUCCAUGGAACAUUACCGAGUGCGUCCAAAUGUUGUGAUCUGUACAACCAUCAUCAGUGGCUGGUGCAGCGCGGGGAAAAUGGAUACCGCAAUGGAGGCCUACGAGAGGAUGUGUAAGAUCGGUGUUUCGCCAAAUUUACGAACUUUUGAAACUCUGAUAUGGGGAUAUGGGGAAGCCAGGCAACCGUGGAAAGCACAGGCGUUGCUGCAAGUUAUGGAAGCGAAGGGCGUAUCGCCUGACGAUAACACAAUGCAGCUUAUCUCAGAUGCUUGGUUCGCUGUUGGUUUAACAAGUGAUGGCAAGAGAAUCGUGGAUGUUGAGCAAUCAGAUUCUGAGGUUGAUGCAGAUGGUACUAAGGAUAACGAGUUACCAGGACAGAUGUUGGAGUUGUACAAAGACCCUGAUCUCUCAGCUUCAUAUUCAGAAGUCUUGGAAGUACCUGGAGACGUAGCGAACGGUCAGAAUGAAGCAUCGCCUGUUAAGAUAAGAAGCCAAAUGAUCCUCAGAGCUCCUAGGUCUUCGUCCAAGGCUCCGUUUUUGGGUCCUAGAUAUACGUUCUUUCUUCGUGGCUCUAGAUUCGGAAGGCAGCCACUAGUUAUUUGCAGCAAGCAGCAACACUGUUUCUCCGGCAUUUGUGGGAAGUUCAUGAGAUCCUACAGCAUCUUCUGAGUUGUCAAUGGAUCCAGGUUGUAGAUAUCACGAACAACGAUGAGAUGUUAUUUGUCUGAAUGUGAUCCCUGAAGUUGUAGAUACCUUUGUUGUUGUAUUGAACCACAAAUCCUCGUUAGUUCGUUUGGUCAUUGACUACAGAAUUUUAUACGUAGCAAUGUAUUUCCCACGUUUUGUACUGCUCUAUGGCAGAAAGAAGCUGCAUCAAUUUUCAGAAAUGCAGGAGGUACAAGACCAUGCUUUGAAACUUGGUUCGAUAUUAAAUGAGCCAAACUUGAGCUAACCAUUGCUCAGCUCAACAGGUUUGCGAGUUGACUCUGGCCAUAACUCAUUGAACUAGGCUUGUGAGUCAACUCAUUUAUAACUCGUGGCUAGGUUCGAUAUAGAUAGCUAGUGAGCCAGUUGUCUAAGUAUUUGAUUAGUUUCUUACGAGCCUAUGACUAUGAGCUCUAUGGUUUAGCUCGGAAGCUCGCUUGAUUUUUAUCUUUUGACGAGCUCGCUUAUGUAACCUUUUCCUUCUUUAACCCAUCGAGACUUAAUCACAAAUUGAACUCGAUCGUAAUGUUUAUCGAGUCAAGCUCAUUAUGAUUAUUGAGAUCGUUCGUUAAGGUGAUUUACAGCCAAAAACAUUAGUCAUAGAUUGUUUAAUCAAGUAGCCUGAACUUGAAUCAAACUCGUGCCCACCAACAAAUAAACAAGAUAAGCCCUGACUGGCAAAAAUUCAGCUUUCCUCGUCAACAACCUUAACUAUUUCAUUAGUAUUUGUGCUGACUGUGAUUAUUUGAGUAAGCUUUCAUUGUGAACCAUCAAUAGACGGAAAAAUAGGAUUGAGUUGGAUAGAAAACUAAUUUGUUGGUAAGUCAAAACAUUUGUUACUCAAGUGGUACUUCUCCAACAACCAAGGCCUUCAGUGUUAAAUUGAUAAACGUUGGUGACUAACCAUGCUAAUUACCCAUCAACUCCCAAACCCUCGUCUCCGGAGCUCCGAACCUAAUCCGUUCAGUUUUCAACACCAGCGGAGCUCAGAGCUCCUCCCAAUUUUUGGUCAAGUUCAAUAAUUAAUCAUGAUAUCUCCGUCACAGAUUCCAAAUUUUCAGUCCACUUCCCUCUUCUCUAAACCCUGUCUAAUCCCCCAUUCCCAAUCCUUUCCUCGCUUCUCGAUCCCGCACUCGACGCCCACACACAUCAAGUUUUCCAUUAAAAAUCGCAGCCUACGUCAGAAAAAGUCAACGGUGGUGGUGGCUGGAGCUAGUAACAGCGACGAAGGAGGUGGGGGUGGGGACGAUGGAGGCGACGGCGAGCUGGAGAAAAGGAGCGGAGUUUUGCCGGAGUGGUUGAACUUCUCUCUAGACGAUGCCAAGACUGUUGUCGCAGCUUUGGCGAUUUCGCUUGCUUUCAGGAACUUCAUUGCUGAGCCGAGAUACAUUCCUUCUCUGUCCAUGUAUCCGACUUUCGAUGUCGGCGAUAGACUUGUAGCCGAGAAGGUGCGUUUUAUGAAAAUUCCUUGCUUCUGAGUUUUGCAAUGUUCAUUGGAAGUGUAGUGGAGUCUAUGAUGAACUUGAUUGAAAUUUUUGCCCUAUCAUGUCCCAAAAUGAUUCUUCCAGUCCAUGAAAUCUGUAUUAUGUUGCUGCAAAUGUUCUGUUUGGCUAUCAAUGUUCAUUAGGAAGUGUAGUCUCAUUCAAUGAGCCAACACGAACUGCAUUCUCUUGUUCUAACUUGUGAUCAAUAUGUUGCAGAAACCUACCUCCUUAUCGUUGCAGGCUAACGAGCUUAAUUUCCACCAUAGUAAUGAUUGAACACUAGUUUCCUGCAUGAAUUCUGUUUACAUACGGACACCUCAAAUGAAAGCUUAGCUAGCUACCGAUUGACUUAAGUGGAUCCUUUUAGUUUCUAUGGAAAUGUUGAUCAGGUCUUGAUAUCUCAAUGAUUGUGUUCAAAACAUAUAAGAUUAUAUUCACAUUGUGAACAAAACGAUUGAUAUGCAAAAAUUUCAGGUCACGUACUACUUCAGAGAGCCUUGUACAAAUGAUAUAGUGAUAUUUAAGAGUCCUCCAGUCCUGCAGAAAGCUGGAUACACCGAUGACGAUGUUUUCAUCAAACGGAUCGUUGCCAACGAAGGUGAUACUGUCGAGGUCAGAUUCGUAAACAAAUGAAGCUCUUUACCUCGUUUACAUAUCAUUGGUUACCAUCUGAUAUUUGUCUUAUUAUUGGAUUGCAGGUCCGCAAUGGGAAGCUUGUAGUAAAUGGAGUCGAGAGAGAUGAAAAGUUCAUCAAUGAAAAGCCAUCUUAUAACAUGAAACCUACUGUAAGCAUUUUAAAAUUCAAUUCUUUCUUUUCUGAUUUCGCACCUCUUAUUGAAAUCUCUGUUUAGUUGAAUUCAUCAUACAAUCUAUCCCCCAUAUUCAUUCUGCCUGUGUAAUCCUUACUGCAGAAGGUACCAGAGGACUAUGUAUUUGUCAUGGGGGACAACCGGAAUAACAGCUACGAUUCACAUGUUUGGUAAAAUGUCUCUCCAAGUUAAUUAACUUAUCCACCAAGACUGUUGCUUUCACUUUACUGAAUGCUCAGAAAUUGUCCUUCCUUCAGGGGUCCUCUACCAAGGAAGAACAUAAUCGGAAGAUCAGUGGUCCGGUAUUGGCCUCCUUACCGGAUCGGCGGCACAAUAUCUGAGACCAACUGCACCGUUGAUAAACUGGAGAGCACUGAAGCCCCUGCGCUCAAGUCCAACUGAUGGCCGCAUACCAUUUCUUCAGCAUCCUUUGGGGUUCCUUCUCAUGUAGUUUAUUUUUUGUAGAGUCACUCCACCAUUGUUACAGCUAACGUCGCAAAACUUUUAGGUGUUUGUUUUUAUUGGGAUGUAUAUCAUAAUCUCAUAUGAGUUUGUAUGUACAAGAACGCUUUUUAAGGGGAAUGGGUUUGGUUAUUCUUGAAUCAAACACAAGAGCACAAGAGAUCCGCUGAGUAUGCCAUGACUUGACCAAUUUCCCAAUAACGUAGCCUUUGGAUCUCACUUGGAACACCAAUGUCACUGGAAUCCGAACUUCCUCACCGGCCGAUCUUGUUAAGCUCGCCCCUGCACCGUAAAGUGGGACUUUCAUCCCAUUGACGUUAACCGAGACUGCUCGGUGGCUCUUCCUCGGUUGGUAAUAGGACCUCAGCUGCACCGAAACAACAACAACAACUGUAAAUUGAUGAAAAUCAAACACACAGUAGCAGUAAGCAAAUGUAAACAUAGUGAGUGUUUUUUUUAUGUUUACCUGGCCAGAAGCGACGAUGAGCUCAGAGAACAUAAGAUGAAUAGGAGUAGAGGUGAUCCUGAUUCCGAAGAAAGAAGCUGGGUUGUAUACCUUGAUCCCCACGGAACAGUUUGUGGUGAGCAUCUUUGUGGGAACUCCAGUCAAGUCUGAUCCUUGUCCGAAGUAGAAGUUGUGAACUGUCAAGCUCUGCAUUACCCAAAAAGAAAAUCACCAACCAGGUGGUUGGAUCAACAUUCAGUUGUGGUUAAUGGUUAAAAUCAAUUAAUCAAACGAUUUUGACCCGUUAAUUGGUUAGCUUAGAAUAAUUUAGUAGGUUAAGUGGUAAAGAUUUGAGAUUUUUUAAUUGAACAAAUUUUAACCGAUUUUUUUCAUAUUUAUAUAUAUUUUAAUUGAAACUGACAUAACCGUCCUAGUUUGGUUAGUAAUUGGCGGUUAAUUAACCCAUCAUCACCAUAUUGCUUGGUGAAUCGUGCUCAAUAGGAUGUAAAGUGCACACAACCUUUUUCACUUUUCGAUAUGAGAUAACGCAACGACCUCUACUUCACAAAUUGGUAGGCAAUAGUCAUCAUACACGUUUACUAACUUUGACCGGAUCGCCAUCAGCCACUCAAUAGGACAAUACCCAUUUAUUGAUUUUGACCGGAUCUUAUAAGGUAUUUUCAACCUAUGCUUAACCUAAUUUUUUAUACAAUCUUAAUUGACCAAUAGAAUAUGAUCAACCAUUAACCAGCCUGGCCGAAUUGGCUAUGGGGUAAACCAUUCUCGAAAAACCAACAAUUCAUUUCAUUUUACCUUGACGAGGAUGUGGGGCCGGAAAGGACGGCUAGCACCCCAGAUGACGAAACAGAAAGCAGUGAAAACGGCGGCGAAACCCAUCACGACCAGCAAAGCCCGACACUUGGCGGGGUCGACAGCGGCAGCGACAAAAUCGGCUUCCUCGAGGAUGACGUGGCAGUGUCCUGAACCUCCGGCGGAGCGUUUGGGGGGUAAAAGUUUUUUAUUACGUCCGGAGGAGGAGGAGGAGGCUGCAGAGGAAGCGAGGGCGUAGGUGCCGGAGACGCGGCUGGAGGCGCGUGAGUAGUAAUUGGGAUGGGAAGGGGAAUCGAUGGGGGUUGUGUUGGGGAGAGAAGAAGAGGAGACGGCGGAUUUGUCGCCGUCGUCAUGGGAGUCACGGGAGGGGCUCUGGACGAAGUAGAUCACUGGGCGCUUUGGAGAGCGAGGGGAGGAAGGUGCCAGGCUUGUCAGGUCCGACUCCGACGAUUUGGCGUUGUACAUUGUUGUGUUUAACUCUACUGUGUUGUGUUGUGUUGUGUUUGGGUUUAAAGAGAAGACAGGUUUUGUUUUGUUUUGUUGUUUGGUUUUGUAAGUUGUGAAACGGAAUUGGUCGGAGUGAUGAGUGGAGAUAAAUGUGACGAAAGAAACGGACAGUAGAGACACUUGGCCAUCAAAUUCUGUAUAUAGAAGAAUAUCAGCAUCCAUUUUUGGUCUGAAAAACAUUCAUUCAUACAAUACAAAUACUAGCUAGCUGUCAUCCGGUAUUCUGGUAUACAUUCUUUGAUCUUUGGUUUCGACACUGCAAUCAAUGAAUAAAUUAAUUGGUUAUAUAUUUGUUUUAACUUAAUCUAAUUUUUAAUAACUCGGUUUCGUUUCAUCGUCUCUUAUUCGUACAAUCCACAGUAAUUAAUUCUCCCAGCCCCUAGAUUUAUUUAUUGAUAUCAAUUAAUUUUUCACGAUAUCAAACACUAGUUACUCUGUUUCGAUAUUGAAGGAUUACUUGGUAUGGGUGGUAUUGAAAUACAUCAACAUCACUCAGAUAAUUUGAUAUUUUUAAAUUUCAAUAGCUAUUGUAUCUUCACCACCUGUUGAUGGAUUAGGCAAGCAACAGGCAGAGAAAGUUCUAUUUUGUAGCACUUGGAACAAAACAAUCAGACUAUGAUUAAAAAACGAUUAAGGUAAUAGGCGGCUAUUGUUUUGCUUCGUGUGUGGUUUCUUAAAUAAAAUAAAGACCAUCAAAAACUUUAGGACCGAUAUAAAAAUCUCUUCACUAUAAAAAUUUUUAAAAAACAUAAUAACUCCAGACACUGCUAAACGGAAUACACACUUUAGUUCAACAACUUAUCCACAUCAAUUUUCUUAUUGAUCCUUGCUCUAAUACUGUCACCGAUUUUGCUUAUCAUUUCUUCAACUAAAGUGUUGUUUUUCCCAAACACUUUCAUACACUUUUUCCUUCCAGAUAAAACUCUAUGUCAAACACUUCGUUUUGUGGUACUUUGACUUCUCCUUCCAUAAACAAGAGGCCCUAUAUUUCUAUCCCAUUCAUCACAACUUGCAAGCUCGGGCAAUAAAACAAUUAUAAUCUUCUUAUAAUAGUUGCAUUUAAAAAAUAAGUGUUCUCUUAUAUCAAUCCCAUCACUACGUUAUCAUCCAAUUCACCAUUUUUUUCUUCACUACAAGCUUAUUGUUUAAAACCAGCCAACAAAUCACACUAGCACUGGAAUUACCCCUAAACACUUUAAUUAUAUGUAUAAACAUUUUUUUUAUAGAAAAGGAAAGACAACCCACUUGGCCUCAACAAGGGAGAUAAGUCGCACAAAACGAUAAGUAGUGACAAAGAGAGCAUUCUUUCCAUAGUAGGAUUCGAACUAUUGAUCCUAAAAUCAAAGUUACAAAAUGAUUAACCACAAUUAGAGCUGUUAGCUAAUCAAUCCACUCAUGAGCGGCUCGAUGUUUGGUUCUGAAAAAGUACGAUUGAAAUUCGGCUCGAUCUUAACGAGCUAGCUCACGAGCCGGCUCGAUAAUAAACGAGUUGAGCUCGAACUGACCCUGACUCGGCUUGGUAGGCUUGCCAGCCAGCUCGUCUCGCGAGUUAGCUCGUUUGAGGUUCGAGUACAAGUUCGAUUACCACUCGUUCGUUGGCUCGAGUGAUAGCUCGAUGGACCCUCGUUCUUUGACUCGAUUAGUGUAGCUUGUGAAUUGGUUUUGUACAUUUUAAUGGUUCGAAUGUUCUUUUUUCUAAUUUAAAAACAAGGAUAUGAUGAUGAAUGAUGUUAUUCUAACGAUUAAUUAUUUAUUUAGACUAUACGAGUCGUAUCAUUUUAGAAUCUUGUUAUUUUUUAUAAAUUUAUCCGAGUUAUGUUCGAAAUUUAAUUUGAACUAUUAAAAAUUGCAAACGAGCGACAUCGAGCUUGUUAAGGCCUCUAAACGAGUUGAGCCGAACCGAGCCGAACUCGAACUCAUAAUUAUUUUUUCGAACCGAGCGCAAAUUGCUAUUUUGAACGAACGAUCUAAACUUAAACUUGAUAAAUUUUUGGCUCGAUUCAAUUCGUGAACGGCUCUAACACAAUACCACACCGAGGGGGUGACCAUAUAGGCUCAUCUAAGCGAUAUUAUUACUCAUUCAAUGGGCCGUCUAGUGUUUUUCCCUGCAUAAAAUUUCUUCAUAUCCCCUCCCAACAUAACCUCAUCAAAUAUUUUUCACAAUCUUUUAUAAAAAAUAUAUUUCUCACAAUCAAUGACAAUCUAUGCAUUUUUAAUUUCAAAUUCAUUCAUUUCGCGGAAUACACUAAACAAACUUAGUUGACUGAUAAAUGAUAAUUAUAUUGUAGGCUUUCUUUGAAUGUCAAAAAGUAUUUUAUUAGUAAAUUGUUACAAAUUGAUUUAACGUAUCAGUUAGGUUUAAAUUGGGUUGAUUUAGUUUGCAGCUGGAAGCUCAGGGAGAUCUCAUUGUUGGCAUGCAGUUCUCCAAUAUGGAUUGACAAGGGAGUUCGGUUCGUUUAUUUCAUGGGUCAAUGUCGAGUCUAAGUAUUAGGAAACCUUGCAUAUUGUUCCAAAACUUUGGUAGGUUAUUGCACGGAAAUAUUAAGAAACCUUGAUUUCACCCUAACCUCUCCCAAGUCCAUCGCGGUAAAUUGGAUAGCAUGCACUUUAGUGCAGCCGUGGGUCAACCUGAGCAACUGGUUAGGAUUUUUUUGUUUUCAAAUUAGUAAAAUAAACUUUAAGUAAAAUUUUCAAAAUUGAAAAUUGUCGAAUAUUUCGUCUAGUGUGCUAUUUAAUCUCCCGUAAGUCCAUCACAGUAAAUUGGAUAGCAUGGACUUGAGUGCAGUGGCGAAACCAAUGGUGGGCUAAUCCGAGCAAUUCGCUAGGAUUUUUUGGUUUCAAAUUGAUAACAUUCUAUGUAAAUUGUUAAAAUUGAAAAUUUGUCGAGUAUUUCGCCCAGUGUGCUAUUUAACCUCACGUAAGUCCAUCACAGUAAAUUGGAUAACUUGCACUUGAAUGUAGUAGCGGAAUCAACGGUGGGCCAACCGGAGCAACUGGCUACGGUCAUUUGGUUCCAAAUUAAUAAAAUUUUAUUUCACAUUCAUUUGAAACUCGAAUUGCCCGGAAUUUCUGGCCAUCCUAAUUCCGCUAUUACUUGUACGAUAGACGAUACAUCAGUUAACGAAAGCCAUCUGUUAACAAUUUACAAAUACAACCAUUUGCAAUGCAAAUAACUCCCAUUACAACUAAACCAAGUAACUAUCCACAGAUACAAGACAUUUACCUAGUCUUCUUAUGUUAACUUGGCAGCUUGGUUGUGCUCACUGCGUGGGGCAAACACCAAAACGGGAGUAAAACAGUCAAAUUUUCGACAUCAUGUGCUGAAAAAAUGCAAGCUUUCAAUUGGAAGCACCUUCCUACAUCCUAUUAAACGGUUCAACUUUGGCAAAACAAGUAGACAGAGAUAAAAGGAAAACAAUGGUGAAGGAGUUAUUGCUGCCAUCAGAAGAGACUCAUUUGGGUGGGAUUUCUUUCUCAUUCGUCCCAUGGAAAUGGAACUCAAAGCCCUUGCGGAAAUAUUAUCCCCGGAUCAUUUUAUGGUAUGUGAUAGCACUAGAAUUUGUAGUGUUUAUCUCACCCUAUCCGCAUGUUUUUUAAGUGAAUGUUAGCUCGUUCGUACUUCAUUUUUGUGUGGUUUUGCGUCUUGGCAUUGUAUCGUCUAGACUCGUUCACUUGGACCGUUUUGGUCCAUUUGAUGUGUUUUUUGUAGUAUAUGCCAUUCCCAAGUACUUUGGAGACAUGUGGUCUGGCUACUAGGCUACGGGCACGGAUUAGAGCACGGUUGGAGUUCAAAUGGGACGACGUUGCAAAAGUUGGUGAAGAAAAAGGCACACAUGCCGUGCAUGACCUAAAUUGGAAUUACCUCAUGAUGGAAUUAGGAAUGCACGUCGUGCAUGCCAUAAUCUUGAAUUAGCUCACGACGAGGUUAAGGGUGCACGCCGUGUGCCUACCUGUUUCGAAAGUUUCCAUUUAAAAGGAGCGAUUUAAGGAAAGAGGAAGAGGCUUCUUCUCAACAAUUCCCUGGCAAUUUUCACCCGCUUUCCUCUGCAAAAUACCUCCACCUUUCAUUCAUAGAAGUCCGAUUGAAGAACCGAAGGAGUAGCCAUUAAAGAUCAAAGUUUGGAUUCGAAUUAGAAGACCGAAAGUGAUGAUUGGAUUUGGAGCGACUUUGAUUCAUUAUCUCCUCAACAUGAUGAUGGUUAGAUUUUUCUUGAUUUUCUCUUCUUUUAAUGACAUGAGUAGCUAAUCGCAUUGCGUUUUCUGCUGGGAUGUACGAAUUGAGCCAUGAUACUCUCCCUAAAGAUAUAGGGUCGACGAUUUGUUGGAUAUUCGGUGAUGAAUGAAUGAUUGCUUGAUUAUUGUUCUUUAAACCUAGUUCUUAUCACGACUUGAAUGGGGUCAAAUCUGUGAGCUCAUUUACUUAACCGAACCUUGUAAUUCAUAUGUUAACAAUCUAAAAUAGUAGAAAGUUAUUGAUGGACCAAGCCAUAACUCGAUUCUACCUUUAAUUUGUGUUUCAUUUGGUUUUAAAGGUAUUUAAUUGAGCACUUGGCGGGCGUUCUAAUUUGCAUCUAACUAACCAAAUUAGGCGUAGUUAUUAGUAGUUUAGGUGUUAAUGGACCAAGCUAACACCAUUUUCAACUGCUUGUGAGGUCCUUUAUGUCAAGGGAACACCUUAUCACUUUGUAAACCAUGUUAGUGUUCAUUAGUACUUCGCCUAGUUGGGGGUGAUUCUAACCUUGAUUGGGAAAGCUGGUAGUGGUAAUCCGUGUGCAUAAUCGUGUCGCGGAUUUUACGAGUGAUAAGAGGAAUCUUAAUAUUCAUUACUAGUCCAAAAUUUUUCGAACCGAUUAUUGAUAGAAAGUUGAGUUUGAUCAACAUCCCUUCCAAGAACGUGUUUUCUCUUUCUGUUCAAACCUCUUUCACAAUUUCUCUUAGUUUUCAUUACUGCUGUUAACUGCGGAAGUAGUAUAACUUGAAACCAAACCCAAAUUGCUUAGUCCAGACUGUCUUGAAAAGUUUUGAGUAAAAUAUAACGAGAGGAUCCUUGGACAUAAACGACACCUGCGUCGUUAGUAUAACUUAAACCGUUAUUUCGGCGAUCAAGUUUUUGACACCGUUAUCGGGGAACUCUUUCUUGUUUCUUUGAAAGAAUUUAGGUGGUGCCGCUUUCGACAUUCGACUUCGCUUUAAUUUUACUUUUCCCAUUUUUUCUUUGUUGUUUUGUUUGGGGUCCACUUUGGGUUGUUGCUUGUGGUGUGCAUGAUUUAGGUGUGGUGCAUGAGACGCUCUAGCCGAACUCGUGAACGAUAACUAUGGAAUCAACCACCACCUCGAGUUAUGUUCCCUCCUUUAGUUCCACCCAAAGUUCAACCCAACUUCACCAUUGAGAUAGUCCUAUCUCUACAUUCGCGGCCUCGCUCCCCACUUUCAGUAUCUUCUCCAUCAAGUUCUUCCCUACCCGUUUUUUCUCCUUCAAGCCCUUCAAGUGAAGAAGAACCUCUCGAGGACGUUAGAAUGGGAGACCAACAACCCCGGACACUUGGGGAUUAUGCCUAACCCACCCUCGUUGGCACUGACUCGACAUUACCUCAUUCCCCCCUAUGGUUGACAACCGAAACUUCAAGGUUAUAUUCUCGUACGUCCAGAUGGAACGGCAGAAACCUUACUCUGAACUCGAGCAUGAGUGCCCGAACUGCUAUCUGAGGUAUUUCAGUGAAGUACUGGAGCUUAUGAAAUACAAUGGGGUUCAUGAAGACGUCAUCCCUAUGAAAUUUUUCUCUUUCUCACUCCAAGAGAAAGCAAAAGCUUGGUUGGAUAAUGAGCCCGAAAACUUGUUCCAAACAUGGGACGCUAUGGUUAACACGUUCCUCAAAGAGUUCUUCUCGCCAUACAAAAUAAAUGCAAUUCGGGCUCAAAUUAGCAACUUCAAACAAUGGAAUGAUGAGCUCUUUUAGGAAACAUGGGAUUGCUUCCAAAGCCUUUUGUAUUUGUGCCCCCAUCAUAACAUGGAGGAUUGGACUCUACCUGAUAUCUUCCUGUGGGCUCUCAACUAUGAGAUUUGGAAAUUUUGUGUUCCUUGUCGAUUUUGUGAUAGUUGAUACCAGAGAUAAUGGCAUUUUUUUUAUCUUAGGUAGACCCUUUCUCAACACUUCCAAAGCAAUUAUGGAUGUGUUUGAGGGGAUACUCACCUUACACGUUGGCAAGGAGGAGACUAUCUUUAAGUUAACCCAGAGCUUGAAAUAUUCUGAUGCAUAAGAUGAUAUUGAUUAUAAUGAUGUGAAUGCAAUGGCUUCGACUUUUCAAAUUAAAGAUUUGUUCAAUCUAGAUGCCUUAGAUUUGUCCUAUUCAGAGCAUUACGGGCAUGCAUGAACGAGCUAAGACAAUUGAAUCAGCAAGAAAUCACCAAGGGGUUGCAUGCUGUCAAAAUUGGUGCUAUGCAUAGUCAAACUUGGCAUUAUGGCAUAGCGUCAAAUUAAAUAUGUAUAUAGCUCCAAUAUUGACCAUCCAAUCUGAAAACUCAUGCCAAUUUUGGCGCUAUGAAACGUUUAAUUUGGCGAUGUACCCAUAGCGCCAACUUAAACAUUGCACUAUAGCGCCAAUGUUGACAUUCUGUGAUUAAAAGGAUUUUUCGAAAAUCCUAUUUAAAGCCCAGUUCUCCCUCACUCGAAGACAGAUUUCCCUGGACGAAAUUGAGAGCUUUAUUAAGAGAUUUGAGAGCGACUUAGAGGCAACUUCAAGGAGCUAGGAAUCGGCAAAGUAAUCAAAACAACGAAUCAAGUUAUCGGGAAGAUCGACGAAAUUAGUUUUUUUCAUAAUUCUUUGUGUAAAUCUAGAUUCAAUGUCUUCCUCUUGUGAUUUUGAUUUGUCUCUCGAUUUAUGAGCAGCUAAAAUUCUCGUGCUUAGAUUAGAUGAACCCUAGGUUAAUUCCUAUGAACGAAUGAUUUGAUACGUUUUGAUGAUUUAUUAUUGGCAGAUAAACUUGAAUGGAUCUCUGUUAGAUUUGUCUUAGACUCGUGAGAGUUUGCAUAUCUAGAACGCCGAAAUAAAAUAACUAGAUUAGACGUUAACCCUCAUCCGAGAGCGAAUGAACUAGUCUGUUGUGUGAACAAUUCUAAAUCGGUAAAUCACCUAACGGAUUUUAGAUCUUUGUGUCGAAAUGGCAUCAUUUGAUUAAAGAAGAAUUGCGACGGUAUAAUGCAUCUAUCAUGUUUUGUUUAAAUCGUGCAAUUUGUUUGUCAUUUGUGAACUAGAAUUGUCUAGCGGGAUUGGACAUCUAAGCAGUUUCAUAUCUGUUUGUCUACAACCUUAUAUCGUGCAGUCUUGCAACCCUUUUACUUUAAAGCUAUUUUUAUUUUCACUUCGAUUGAUUGAUUGAUCCUCGUGGCACCGAAAUCACAUUCAUUGAUACCUCGAUUGAUAUUAAUUAUAACUUCGAGUAAGAUACUAAAAGAGACCCUAGGGAUAUUCGACACGGUUAAUUUAUUAAUCGGUUUAUUUUGAGAAUUCCUUAAAAACGUUCAUCAAAUUGGCGCCGUUGUCGGGGACUUCUGUUUAGCAUAUGAAAGUAGUUCCAUUAGCAUUAAUAUUCAUUCCUGCUUUAAUUUUUUUUCAUAGCAAGCAAGUCAUUGCGUAGCAGAUAUCAGACAUCAACGGUAUUAGUCCAAGCUUCUGCACACACAAGAUUCUGAUGGAAGAAAACUUUCACCCGAUUGUUCAACGUCAACGAAGACAAUAUUGCAACUUGCAAAAGGUUGUUCGUAAGGAAGUUGUGAAACUAAUGGACGCCGGAAUCAUCUAUCUCAUUUCAGACAGCGAAUGGGUUAGUCCGAUACCAAUGGUGCCGAAGAAAAGAGGUUUCACUAUGGUCGAGAAUGAGAAGAAGGAGCUCAUCUCCACUCGUACUGUCACAUGGUGGAAAGUUUGCAUAAACUAGAGGAGGCUCAAUGAUGCCACCCGAAAGGAUCAAUACCCGCUCUCGUUCAUGGAUCAAAUGCUCGAGCGCCUUGCCGGUGAUGAGUAAUUUUAUUUUUUGGACGAGAUGUUGGGAUACUUUCAUAUCUCGAUAUGUGCGGAAGACCAAGAGAAAACGACGAUCAUCUUAUCUUUUGACACUUUUGCCUAAAGGAGGAUGUCAUUUGGGUUGUGCAAUGCUCUAGCCACAUUUAAGAUAUGCAUGUUGGCUAUCUUAUGCUAACUUGUUUGAAGAGAUAAUGAAGGUCUACAUGGACGACUUCUCUUUGUAUUGCGACUCAUUUAACCUCUGUUUGAGGAAGCUGGAGAGACUGCUGCAACGAUGCGAGAAGACCAAUUUGGCCUUAAGUUGGGAGAAGUUCAUUAAUGGUCUGUGAGUGGAUUGUGCUUGGCCAUAAAAUUUCUGAUCAAGGGAUCAAAGUGGACAAAGCAAAACUCGAGACGAUAGCUAAUCUUCCUCUUCCUUCAAUCGUCAAGGGUAUUCGAAAAAUUUCUUGGCAAUGCGGGAUUCUACCGGCGGUUUAUGAAGGAUUUUUUCAAGAUUGCUACACCUCUGAACCGCCUCCUUGAGAAGGAUGCUCCAUUCACCUUCACCAUUGAGUGUAAGCAUUCUUGCCCGAUAAUCCUCACCACUCCAGAUUGGAUGCUUCCAUUUGAGCUACUAUGCGAUGCAGUGACUUCACCUUGGGAGCAGUAUUGGGACAAUGGAAGGAGAACAAUUUUUAUCAUAUAUACUAUGUGAGCAAGUCACUCAAUGAUGCCAGAAGAAUUAUACUACCAUAGAGAAGGAGCUGUUGAUAAGUUCAGGUCUUACUUGGUGCUAUGCCACACCAUGAGUUUUACUGACCAUGUAACUAUAAGAUACUUGAUGAGCAAGCCAGAUGUAAAGCUGUGACUUAUACGAUGCAUGCUUUUGUUGCAAGAGUUUGACUUUGAAAUAGAGGACAAGAAGGGUUCUGAAAAUUUGGUUGCAUAUCAUCUCUCCCACUUGAUGGAAGAGGAAAUACAAACCUCGGACGAAAUUCUCAUUGAAGAAUGCUUUCCGGAUGAAAAGCUUUUUAUGGUCAUCACCCAAGAAGUGGAAGGGUCAUGGUUCACGGACAUUGCCAAUCAUCUCACCAGCAUGUCCUACCCAAAGGACAUCUCCCUUCAAGCCAGAAGGAAAAUUCAGGAUGAUAUCUAGCACUACUUCUGGAAUGAUCAGUACGUAUUUCAUGUGGGUGCAAAUAAGGUGAUUCGACGAUGUGUACCCUAUAAUGAGACCCCAACUAUCUUCCAGCACUAUCACGCCAGGCCAACUAAAGGAUAUCACGGUGUAACCGCACCGCCCUAGAAGGUAUUUGAUUUCGGUUUCUUUUGGUUAGUACUUAUAAAGAUAACUUUGAUUUUGUGAAAUCCUAUGACAAAUGCCAAAAGUCAGGCAACAUCUCUCAUCUGAAUGAGAUGUCGCAAAACGAACACCUCGUUUGUGAUAUCUUUGAUGUCAGGGGGCUAGAUUUCAUAGGACCAUUUCCUCUGUCUAAUGGUCUCACAUAUAUUCUCGUGCUAGUGAACUAUGUGUCCAAGUGGGUAAAAGCCGUAGCUCUCCCCACAAAUGAUACUAGAACUGUUGGAAAAUUCCUGGUGAAACUAUUCUCUUGGUUUGGGACACCUUGUGCUAUUAUCAGUGAUAUGACAGAUUCUUACUUAUAGCCCAUGGAUCUCUCCCGUGCUUUAUCGAUGUGAGAUUUUUCUAAGGUGUUACAUUAUACCUCACUUGGACUCAACGUCCUCGUUAAGAUUUGCCCCACCAUCGUUCAAGAGGGGAUGCAGAGAGGCUUUGAUACCACUUGUAACACUCCGACCUUUUCCGACAAGAUAUUGUCUGCUUUGGGCAUAGCUAAUCCCUCAUGGAUUUGUUUCAGAUGCAAAAUAGUGACAUCCUAGGAGGUCAUCCAUUUAUGCACUGCUCCCACCCAAACACGAUUAACUUCAGAGUUCUUAGCAGAACUUCUCCAUCUCACCCUAAAAGCACAUCUUGUCAGUUAGGGAUAGAUUCUUACUUAUAACUCAUGGAUCUCUCUUGUGCUUUGUCGAUGUGAGAUUUGUCUAAGGUAUUACAUACAAAGAGAGGAUGAAGAAGUAUCAUAACUCCCGCUUGCGGUCAGUUAAAGAAUUCAAGGAAGGCGACUUUGUCUGCCUCUUCAACUUACGGCUCAAACUGUUUUCCGGGAAGCUCAUGUCCCGAUGGAGUGGUCCAUUCACCGUCAUCAAGAUUUUCCCUUAUGGGACAAUCGAGGUAAUAUCAUUCCCCUCCUCCGAUCCUUUCAAAGUGAACGGUUUGCGUUUGAAAUUUUACCAAGCUGGUGACAUCAUACGUGUUGGCAACGAGGUUAAUUGUUUUCCACUUUCAAUUGCUCGCGGGAGGGCGUCUAGUUAAAGACGUUGAAAAACGCUCUUCGACGCAACCCGUGCGUAUCCAUUAUUAGAAUAGAAAACAAAAGACCCAAGAUUGUUGAUUUGUGCUUCAUGUAAUUCUAUAACACAUACAUAUUCUUGAUACUUCUGUUGAUUGAAAUCAUGCUCAUCCCUUGAAUUUGUGAUUUCGUCAAAUUCGGUACAAAUUUCAAAAUUUCACCAACUUUGCAAAUCUAAAUCUUUUCCGAAGCCUUCAAUCGAACAGACUAUUAAACAGUUCAACCUUGGCAAAACAAGUAGACAGAGAUAAAAGAAUAAAAAUGGUGAAGGACUUAUUGCUGCCAUCAGAAGAGACAUUUGGGUGGGAUUUCUUUCUCAUUCGUCCCAUUGAAAUGGAACUCAAAGCCCUUGCGCAAAUAUUAUCCCCAGAUCAUCAUAUGGUAUGCAAUCCGAUACAAUUAUUACUUUGCGCAAUUAUUACUUUGAAAAACUGUUACAAUCUGAUUCGUAAGCAAAUAUUAUCCACAACCUAAUAUAACAUGCAUGGCAACAAGUACUACUUAGUAUUAGCUUGCCACUACUAGGCCAACUAGCACUUCUCACGAUUAACUUCUAACCAUCUUGCCGACAUACUUCUUUAACAUAACAUGUAUGGAUGCAAAGAUACCGAGUGAGUAAUUGCCUUAAAACUUCUUCAUCAUCAGAAUCAGUAAAGUAGGUGAGGGUCGAGGGGCAGCACAACCAAGGUAGUACAAUACAUCACCAGCUACUGCACUUGUAAAAAGCACAGCUUCAGUUUACUUCUGAAAAAAGAAAACAGAAGAGAAAAAAUGCAGUGGUUGUUGUUUUGACUAAGGCCUCAUAGGGAAUCCGAUUACGGUUGUCAACAUAAAAGACAUUCAGCCAUAUGCUUGUCAAUACAGAAAUCAUUGGCCAUUCCAUAGCAACUGUAAAUUCAAAUUCACUACAUGGACUUAAGACCUUGGCAUAAAAUGAACAAAGUUUCGAAUGAAGAAAAAGAACAAGUUUUAUAUUGCACUGAUAAAAAAUCAUUGAGGGGUCAUCAGAUAGGAGCGAAAGACUUGCUAUAGAUUUGUAAUCACAGAUUAUCAUCUGAACUAUGCAUUUGAAAAUCAUCACCUGACCCCAUUACCCACAAACAAUUUAUAUCACAGGAAGCAACUUCUGAGGAAACGUUAAAACCCAAGCAAAAGAAGCUGGAAAUCGAGAGGAAUGGCCUCAUAGAGAAGAUUAGAUCUAUCAACAUGCGUAAGUUCAGACAUAUGCUUGUCAAUUUUUAUAGUUAAAUCAUCGGCCAGACACCUCGAAAUCAUAUAACAUAAACCAAAUUGAAAUAAAAGCAAGAAAAGGGAAGACUCAGAAUAUGGGUGGUGAUAUAUCAGGAUGGUCGUCAAGGCCUUUUAAAGCCGUUACGACGAACGAGACCUUUCAUGAUAGUAAUCGUCAUCGUCCAUCCCCACUAAACUCAAAACACAGGCAUUCAAUUGAAGAGUAGAAACAGACAGAUGCUACGGGAAAUUAAGAGCAACACUGCCACGAUUGAAGAUAGGGGGUGGAUCUGGAGAUGCUGUGAAUAUCGAGUGUUUCUGCUACUACUUAUAACAGAGACGAGGGAAGGGGGUUGAUUUCAGGCGGCUAGGGUUUCGAGUUUUGCUGAAGUUGCGGAUCUGUAGUGUUCAUCUUCUUGCGAAUGUGUAGGUUGGGAUGUUACAGGGCGAUAAGGUGCAUAUUCAACGUGGGCUUUUGAGUCUACGGUAGCCACGGCCCAUCAUAAUAUUAGAGGAUCCAUGCAAAGCCUAAGGCCUCGUUUGGAGGUAAAACACGGACUAUAAUCUUACGGUAAAUGUACAAUAUGCUAUUAUGAUUUAAGAUUUUCCCUAUGUUGUCUGUGAGUUAUAUGUUUGUCACAAUAUGUUGCAAUAUUCAUACAAAACCAAUGUGUUAUUUGGGAGUUAUUCCUUUGCUAGGGCAGUUACGAUUAUCUGUGUCAUUCUGAAUUGGUGUGAAUUUGUGCAUCUGGUGUCGUGUUUUUUAAUACCUAUUGUGCAAGUCACUUAAUCGGUCUCGAUGUGUUCUCCAUAGCCACGGACUAGUGUCCAAUCUCUCGUCACGACCUCCAUUUGGAUUUACGGGCUCAAAUCAAACGUUCAUAGGCAACUUCAUCUAUAUCACCCAACACAUAUCUACCUCAUGAUUAAAUCCAAACAUGAUUAUGCGACCCUCUACAUGCAAUUUGUCUUCAUAAGUCGUGUUGUGGAAAACAAGAAUCAAGUGUAGAACUCGAAAUCCUAAUACUAGGAUGACACUCUCAUAUGACGGACAGGUUCUCGAACCGAGAGAAAAAACGUCAUCAGACAGCUACAAAAAUGCUUGAGCAACUCAAAUCUCACGGACUAAUCUACGAACAUAUUAUAACUAAUCCCAGCUAAUAUAUUACAAAGGAACCUUUUCAAAUAGAAACUGAAACUCCAAUUAGUCACCAACAACAGUCCAGAGACUGGAUAAAGGGUACACAAAGUCCACUGAUCACAUGCAGUUCUUCACCGUACAACCAAUGUCUGACUGUAGCCUCCCAUAAACUUUACGUACACUAGGAUGCCAUACUUUGGCAAGUUUCUGCAUCCUCUCAUCGUAAUCUUCCUUGGAAGUAUUCUUGCAAUUGCAUCUAUUAUCAAACCAUGUGGAAGCUUCAAUCAAUGCACUCUCCAACUCCAACUUUGCUUUAUCGCCAAUAGCCCAAUUAUCAACAUCCUCGCCCAUGGCGUUGUUCACAUCAUUUAUGAAUCCCUCAAAGCACCGUCCUGUCUUUUGUGGCCAAUUCAGUUGAAUCUUCUAUCAUUCUCUGUAUCUCCUCCUCGUUCAAGUUUCCUUUGUAGCUGGUGAUGGUUAGAGAUUCUGAAUCUGCAGUUGCGUUGUCUUUGGCCGUUAUACUCAGGAUUCCAUCCACAUUCAUCUCAAAUGUCACUUCCACGUUAGCAACUCCCCCGCAACAAAGGAACCAACCGAUUCGCCCAAUAUGCAUAUCGUAAGAACAACGACCAAUCAUGAAACAUGAAGUCGGUGUGGUGAUCACAUGGGUGAAAAUGAUCGUUAAUGGAGGUUGGAGUCGCCUAAAGACUCACCACAAAACUUUCGGAUAGUCAGAGAUGGUGGUUCGGUUGCCGCAAAAUGAUGGUUCGGUUGCCACGAAAUGAUGGUUUGACAACAAGAGCUGGUUGUGUUGUGUGGUAAGAACAUAAAAAAUAAAAUUAAUUAAAGGCAAAAUGACCAUCUCAACCCAAUUAAUUUAUGACACAUAGAUUGUGUUGGGAACUCACUGAAAAACUUUGUGUUAGUCGGAGAUGGUAGUUUGAUCGUCUCGAGACCAUGGUCCAAUAAACCAAUAAAAAUUAAAAUUUAAACAAUGGAAGGAUCAUCUUACCCCGAUUGAUCUAAACCCACGUAAAAAAAUCAAAAAAUUAUAUUACCACCGAGAAAUAGUCUAAAGGCUUAUAUUAUCCUGUGGAAAAAUCAAAGGCUAAACAUAGACAACAAAUUGAUCGACGGUUAAGUUAAUUAACAAUAAUAAAAAAUACAAACACAAAAAGUUCUUUCUUGUACCUAUUUUCACCUCUUAGCCUCUCAUUUUUCCAACAAAACAACCUUGCCAUAAUUAAAGAAAACUAAAACCAAACAAACGACAGUCUCAUAAACUGUUUUCUGUUAAUUCAUUUAUCAAUUAUAACAUACUUUCUUACUUGUCCAAGUUUGGUUACCAUUCAAUUAGAUUUUUGUUUAGAUUUCUCAAUUAGUUUUUUGUUUUGUUUUGGUUUAAACAUGCACCCUACGUUGUUCAUAUAUACAUACCAGAAAUGAAAGCUCUUGAAGACGGCAAACCAUUCAUUAUGAAAUAGCAAAUACUGUUGUGUUGUGAGAGAGAGAGAGAGUUUUCUCCCUAUCUAUAAACUUUCAAGAACAUAAAAACUCAAAACUUUCUACAUCCCCACAAUCCAUUCUUUCUCAAUUUCGACUCAACCGGUCAUUCGCCGUUGAUCGGUACUCUCUUAUGUUGAUGUUGUUUUGACAGAAAUCAAGAUAGAUCAUAUCAAAUCACUCAAAGCAUACAAGGGUUUAGGCCAUAGGUUUGCAGUCCCUGUGUCUUCCUUUCUGUUUUCUAAAGCAGGGAGGGAAAGGAAAACAAUCAAGGGUAAGGGAGACCGAAAAUUGGCGGAUGACAUGGUUCGAGCAGUUGACAAAGAUGAACAACAACCGGGCGUUACUAGGUCCAAAUCCAAUUCUUUGAGAAAAAUGUUCGAGAUACCUGGGAGACAAAUUCAAAACAUGUUCUUUGUCGACCAUGGUAACAACAGCAGCAACAAUGCCAACGAUAAUGACGGUACUGUUGUUGACCAGGAUAAACCACCGCAACUACCCCCACCACAACUGCAACAUCAACAAUCAUUAAAAGCUAGUACAAGUACUAGUACCCCUCCAAACUUACCGAAAAGCAAUAGCAGUAAUGAAGGAUCAACAGAGCAACUCACUUUUAAUGCAACAACAUCAACAAUAAAUGAGACACCAUCCGUAAUCGAAGGAUCAUCACCUCCUGAGCGCGAAAAACGUGUCGAAUCUGGCCCGCCUCCUAAAACACCGACCCUUAAAGAAAAGGGUCCUUCUGGUAAUAUGGAAUCAAUUUCGCAUGCAUUAUGAACGUUUAUUAGAUAUUCGUUAUUGUAUUAUCAAGUUUUGAUACGUUUUGACAAAAAAUGUCGCGUUAUGAUAAACAUAUAAAGAUUGUUAUCCCAAAACUUCUUCUUGUUAAUGUUUAUACACGUACAGAAAUAUAACUAGUAUUGAUUUUUCUUGGUGUAGAUUUGGAUUUGAUGAAGGAAAAGUUUGGGAAGCUUUUACUAGGGGAAGACAUGUCUGGUGGUGGAAAGGGUGUUUCUUCAGCUUUGGCAUUGUCCAAUGCAAUCACUAACCUUGCAGGUAUAUAUAUUACUCAUUUUCCAUGUAUGAAGCAAAUUAAUAACAAGUUACUAAUAUUUUUGAUUACGGAGCAGCAUCUGUUUUCGGAGAACAAAAAAGGCUGGAGCCAAUGUCUGCAGAUGCAAGGGGAAGGUGGAAGAAAGAAAUUGAUUGGCUUCUAUCUGUAACUGAUCACAUUGUUGAGUUUGUUCCUUCGCAGCAAUCCAAUAAUGGUGUCAAUAUGGAGGUAAUAUAAUAUAUAUAGCUAGGGAUUUUGUAUCUUUUCAUCAAAUUUCAAGACUAUAUGAAUAUGUACCUUAACUUUAGGUUCCUUUUCAUAUAUAGAUCAUGGUGACGAGGCAAAGAAGUGAUCUACUGAUGAACAUCCCAGCUCUGAGGAAACUCGAUACCAUCCUCGUCGUAAGUAUAGUACUAUAAAUACCUCUAUAUACUUCAAAGUUAGCCACACAAGAUCCAAGCAUUUGUUAAGAAGCUUGAUUUUUGACAGGAAUUGUUAGAUCAAUUCGGGAAACAAAACGAAUUCUGGUAUGUGUCGAAAUCUGAUGACGAUUCUGAGAAAGGACAAGGAAGAAAUGAGGAGAAAUGGUGGAUCCCAACAGCAAAAGUACCCAAAAAUGGUUUAUCAGAACCCACAAGAAGAUGGAUGCAAUCCCAGAAAGAUGCAGUUAACCAAGUACUUAAAGCAGCAAUGGCCAUUAACGCUCUAGUCCUCUCAGAAAUGGAUGUUCCUGAAGAAUACAUCGAAUCCCUUCCCAAGGUUGGUUCGAGAUAUUUCAAAUAGCUUUUGAUUUCGUAAAUUUUCUUGUUUGAAUUCACUGUGAGCUUCAUCUGUUCGGUUUUUGUUAGAAUGGAAGAUCAAGCCUUGGAGACUCGAUAUACAAAUCUAUAACAGAUGAACACUUCGAUCCAACUCAGUUCCUCUCUACUAUGGACUUAACAAAUGAGCACAAAGUGCUGGAGCUGAAGAAUAGGAUCGAAGCAUCCAUUGUGAUAUGGAAACGGAAAAUGAUCCAAAAAGAUAAUGGCAAGGCAGCAUGGGGUUCAGCGGUGAGUAUGGAGAAGAGAGAGCUUUUCGAAGACAGAGCAGAGACGAUCCUGCUCAUCCUCAAGCAACAUUUUCCUGGACUCCCGCAAUCUGCACUUGAUAUAAGCAAGAUUUCAAACAACAUGGUACGUUACUAGUUAUAAGUAAAUGCAACCACAUUCCUAUCAGUUUCCAACUAAAUUAUUCACUACUUAUACUCCCACCACAAGUACUCUAACACCUUAGACAAAUCUCACAUGGAUAAAGUCCAUUGAAAUAAAAACUUUGAAGUAAAACAUGCUCAGAGAAGAGCAGCGAGUACAAACUAACAUUUUUGCAUAUAAUUACCUAGGACGUUGGCCAGGCUAUUCUGGAGAGCUACUCGAGGAUCAUAGAGAGCUUGGCAUACACAGUGUUGUCGAGGAUUGAAGACGUCCUGUUUGCUGACAAUGCGGCCCAGAAUCCACCACCGGAUCCGAGCGAGAAACUGCCGGAGGAAGAAACUUCAUCAUCUGCAGAGACACCGUCAUCAAUGACGCUGUCAGACUUCAUGGGAUGGGGUAUGGACAAGGGGGAGAGUGAGCUGAAGAAAUCAGCAUCAUCAGGAAACAUUGAGGACUUGGAAGACAAGGGAAACGUGAAACCAGUAGCCACUCCUAAGAAAUCUUCGUACCUGGAGAGGCUUGAGAAUCUGAGUGGAUUAAGAAGUCCAACAACUCGACAUUAACUUAGAAAUCUUUAGUUGGUGGAGCGGGUCCAAAUCAAUAUUCGUUAUGUGCAAAUAACUGAUGAUUCAAGAAAGAUAUAGUUGUCCUCACAACAACAAGGCAUGCAAUCCCCCCCUCCCACAAACCAUAGUGUACGUACUGGUUCGAAAUUAUGAGACAAGAAUGGAUUGUAGAACAAAAAUGGAUGGAGAAGAAAGAAAAUUAACUAUGUUCUUUAUUGAAUGGUAUUUUCCUUUUUUAUCUUUUUUUAAAAAAUUUAUUUAAUGGGACCUCUGAGUUUCAAUUGUUGUUGAACAAUUCAAAAAAAUUCAAGAAAUUAUUCAUAUAAGUCGAGUUGAGCAAUCUUUGUUCAAGUUAAACUGUCUGUAUGGAUUUUUUUUGGUUUCAUUCCAAAAAGUUUAAACUCAAUUUGUUGUGUUUAUCGCCCUCGUUGAAGCGACAUUUCAUGUAUAUUCAUAUAGUUUGGGUAGAAGUUUAGGGUGUUUUGUGCAUUUCUAACUUCUAUCUCGAUUUAGUGUCUCUGACCCGUUCGUGGCCCAUUUGAUGCUGUUUCGUAGUGUUUUUGAUCGAUUUAAGGCACACAAUGACACCGGGGCACUAUUCAGAACUGUAUUACGUGCAAAGAAGAUCUAAAUGCAUCAAAGAAUGAAUAAAUCACGAAGUUCAGGCGAUAUACAGUGUUCGGGGACAAGCGGGAACUAAGACAGAUGAUUUCAGUUGCUCGAAGCGGAUGGUUGCUGAAAUUCAAAGGGAACACGACGUGUACGCUGAGAUACGACAUGUUCCUAAAGAACACGCCUUUGUCCUUUUCACUGGAAAUUACGGUCGAUAAGUUAAUUUCAUGAAACACGACCGUGUCCCAAGAGAACAUGACGUGUCUUUUUGACACGACGUGCUCCUCAAGUACACGACCCUGUCCUUUUCUCUGGAACUUUCAGACCGGGAAGCGAUUUUUAGAGAACACACCCGUGUCCUUUAGGAACACGACAUGUCCCUAGGAACAUGACGUGUUCCUCCUCGAGACGAGUUUUCUCAGCAAUUUUCCUUCUCCAAUUGGGAAUAGACGAUAUAAAUACCCGGGUUCUCCCUCAUUCGAAGGGAGACUUUUUUGGACGAAAUUGAGAGCUUUAGAGAGAGAUUUUAGAGCAACUAAAGGCAACUUCAAGGACCUCGGAAUCGGUGAAGUAAUCAAGAUGGCGAAUCAAGUUCUUGGGGAAGAUCGACAAAAUUAGGUUUUUCAUAAUUCUUUGUGUAAACCUAGAAUCAAUGUCUUCCUCUUUUGAUUUUUAUUUGUCUAUCGAGAUCAUGAGCGGCUAAACUUCUCUUGCUUGGAUUAGAUGAACUCUAAGUUAAUUCCUAUGAACGAAUGAUUUGAUACGUUUGGCGAUUUAUGCGAGUUAGUUGGAUUUCAUUGCAUAUUUGAUUUCGCUUUCAAUUUGUUCUUGCUUGAUCAACUUGAAUUAAAUCUCUGUUAGAUUUGUCUUAGACUCGAGAGAGCUUGCAUAUCUAGAAUGUCAAAAUCAAAUAACUAGGUUUUAGAUGUUAACCCUCAUCUAGGAGCGAAUGAACUAGUCUGCCGUGCGAGCAAUUCUAAAUCGGUAAAUCGCCUAGCGGAUUUUAAAUCUUUGUCUCGGAAGAGUGGACUAGAAUACUAGAUAGGUAGCAAAUUAGCAGACCCGAAAGGGCAUAAAUUGAUUAGAGAAUAAUUGUAACAAUAUAAUGCAUCUAUCAUGUUUCGUUUAAAUCGUGGAAUUUUUCUGUCAUAUGUGAAUUAGAAUUGCCUAGGCGGAUUCGACAUCUAUGCUGUUUCAUCUUUGAUUGUCAACCUUAUGUCAUGCAGUCUUGCAACCUGUUUAUUUGAAAGCAAUUUUCUUCUUUUUCUACUGUUUGAUUGAUCUUCGUGGUACCUAACCACACUACUUGUUACUUCGAUUGAUACUAAUUACAACUUUGAGUAAGAUACUUGAAGAGACCUUAGGGAGAUUCAACUCGGUUAAUUCAUUAACUGGUUUAUUUUGAUAACGAGUAAAAUCCAUUCAUCAAAUUGAUGUCUACCACCCCUGCUCCAAAAGUUCGAAGGCAUGCAAACACAAGUUUUGUGCUCACUCCUUAAGAAAUCAAGAAGCAUGCUAGGAUUCCAUAUCUAGUAGCAGUUAAGAAGAAGGGGCUAUCAAGGAGUUUGAGAGGUUUGUUGAAAUCAUUAAGAGGCUUUCACAAAGAUUCCAACAUAUGCCAAGUUCUUGAAGGAUGUACUAAACAAGAAGAUCAAUCUUAGCGAUUCAACAGAGGUCUCCAUAUAUGAAGAAGGCGUAGCUAUUCAAGUCGGACCUACAAAGCAAAUAGACCCAGGGAGCUUUACUCUACCUUGCACUAAUAAUAAUGUUAAAGUUGGUAGAGUUCAAACUUUACCAUUACUACAUUAUUGAAAAUUUAAAUAUUGUUACUACAUCAUUCGAAAAUACAAUACUAAUAACACUAACACUACUCGUCUUCAUUAUCCUCCUCCCCUUCCUCUUCCUCAUCAGGUGGUGGGCAAUUCUCGAUCAGUCUUUUUCCUUUGGAAACUCCCGAUGGUCUGGAAGCUCCAGAUGAUUAUGGUACAAAACCUUCAAAGAUUCGAGCCAUCGGUGCAUCUCGGGGGAGAGAGUACCAGUUUGCUUCUGAAACUCCACAAGCAUAAGCUUUGCAAACUAUCGCAUGACUGGGUCCUCGACUUGAACUCGUGGAGGAAAAGGACUUUGUGUGCUGCUUGAACUCGAACCAAACUCCUUACAAAUGAACACAAGACUUAUUAAGUUUACCGAAGAUCGGAUAUGGCAUAUCUGUAUAUACUACUAACACAUACUCUUCCAACUACAAAAUUAGAAAAAAAGUACAUGCCAAAUUCACAAACAAGCCAACAAUCACAUAACAUGUUCACUAACAAAUUCACUAACCCAUGACAAGUUGAUUAGAUUAUAUUUUUCUUUUAACUACAAACAUAGAUGGUUUUAGUUAACUUACCACUGAAGGCUUCUUGGCAAAUCUCAUAUGACACACUCUUCCCGGCUUUUAUUUUCCUUGAUAGCAUCUCCCCACGGCAUCAUUCAGGCCAACCUGUGAAUUAUCAAUGGUUGGACCAUUGAUAUUCCUUCCCACUUGAUUAUGCAUGCACAAAAAGAAAACAUAUACAGUUAAGAAUGUAUUUCCACCAUACAUAUAUAGAAAGAACAUAAAAAUUAAAGUUCAUACAAAAUUUAGGGUACUUGAAUACUUACAUACAUCUCUCUGUCGCAUCAUUGGGGAACUUCUUCUUCUUCCUAUCCGGCUUGUGAGUUUCUAGGAAAAGGUAUCCCCUACUAAUUGGCCCUCCUUUUUCUUCCUCCUAUGAAACCAUGUACACAUGAAGUUUGGCUUCAAAAUUUAGGAAACAAAUGCACUUUCAAAUUUAAUUCAUACCCGUUGUUAUUGCGUUAUGUUGAAUGGCCUCAACCCGGUUGUAUGGUAGGUCGACUGUUUCUUUCUGCUGUCCUUGUUAAUUGUAGAUAUCCUCACUCCCUUUGUUCCUAACGUGUACUUCACAAACCUCUCCCAAUCGUGAACUUCAUAAUCGGGAUUAGGCUUCACUACUACAUAGUGAGGUAUAGUCUUAGGGUUUUUUGGGUCAUGAACUUUCUUCCAAACUGCCCCUCGAUGCUCUUUCCACUUCUUCCCUAGAUCUUGGAAGAUAUACUUUCAUAUGUCUUUAUCAUCCUUAGGCCUCUAACAGAACUUAGACUAUAUAUAGAUUGAUUUAACAAAGCAUUGAUAAAAGAUAUAAAAUGCUCUAAUCCUCUAAAUAAGAGAGAGAAAAUACUCUACUAUUUACCUUUAUGAGUUUGUGCCAACAAUCGGCCUUGUCCAAGUCGCUCACAUAUCGCCAAUCGUCCUGGCUAAUGGGGAAGCGUUCCAGUUUAAUGAUCUUCCCAAGCACCUGUCGUAGGUAAUGGCUCGAUUGUUUGUAAGGAACUCGCAUCCAACUAGAUGAAAAUCCUCCUCCCAUCCUGCCCAAUAUUGCUCCACUCUCUAACCGUCCACGUUUCCUCAGACUGGUUACCAUUUUCAUCUACAAAACCAAUACAUCAUAUAUUUUACAAACACAUACAUAUAAAAUAUACAUACGUGAUAUAGAGUUGAGUCAGAAAGUAUACAUAUUGUACAUGCAACACAUAUACCACUCUGACGCCUCCUUCUCCGCUACAUGCCGCCGAUCAUCAUCAUCACCUCCAUGUCCUCCAGUGCUACUACCUCCCAUAACGUCUACCAUGAAUGAAACCAUAUAAUACACUCAGAGACAAAUGGCUAUAUAUAAAAUAUAUGCAUUAACUUGAACAAUCAAAUGUUGGAAAAGGUAUAAUGCCUCAAUCAAAUUCUGCUUCCACACCAAACCGCGAGAGACAUUAAUUUGAUCCAUCGUUAAUAUUAGGCAACUCUUGGCACUAGAAUGCCUCGGAUACAUGUCAUGAAUUGGUUUCAUCACCCAUUUCAUACAAGUCCCUCGGUUUAAUAUGAAUCGGAACACACCAUUUUGGCUUUUUCACAUCAGUAACAUAGUACUCCAUCUUGGCAAUACUUUCUGCCACGUAUGGCUCAUCUCCAGCUUGAAUACUGACGACACUCAAUUUUUCAUGUUCAUCAUCCUCAUUUAAGCGACAUUUCAUGCAUAAUUGUAUUGCUUUAGGUAGAUGUUUAGGAUGUUUUAUGCAUUUUAAGCUUUUAUCUCGAUUUAGUGUCUCGGACCCGGUAAGGGUUCAUUUGAUAUCGUUUUGGAGUGUUUUUGAUAGAUUUCAGGUACAUAACAACAUUGAAGCAUUAAUCAGGGCGAUAUAGUAUGUGUGGAUGGUCUAAGACAGGCAAUAGGAAGCAUUUUGACAACUUCAAGGAGCUUGGAUAGCGACUUGGUCGGGAAACGUCGCAGUUUUGUAUUUUGCACAUAUCUCCUUGCUCAGAAGUUUGAUUGAUGCAAAGCUAGCGGCGUUGGAAAGCUCAUUCAAUUUUCUAAAACUUUUAAUGAAAGAGUUAUGUCAAGAUUUCCGCUAUGGGUCUGUCAAAUUUUCCGCUAUGCACAUAACGGCAAAAUUGACAUUUUAUAGCGGCAAACUUGACAACUCUCUUUGGAAACAGGUCAAGAUUGCCGAUAUGGAUGUGUCAAUCUUGCCGCUAUGCCCAUAGCGGCAAGAUUGACAAACUAUAGCGGAAAAGUUGACAUUCCAGAAAAUUGAUGGAUUUUUGGGAACCUCUAUUUAAAGCCUGAUCCUCCCUCAUUCGAAGAAAGACUUCCCUGGACGAAAUUGAGAGCUUUAGAGAGAUAUUCAAGAGCAACAAGAAGGCGACUUCAAGGAGCUCGGGAUCUACAAAAUAAUCAAGACAGUGAAUCAAGUUCUCGAGAAGAUCGGCAAAAUUAGGUUUUUCAUAAUUGUUUGUGUAAACCUAGAUUCAACGUCUUCCUCUUCUGAUAUUGAUUUGUCUAUCGAGAUUACGAGCGGCUAAACUUCUCUUGCUUUGAUUAGAUGAACCCUAGGUUAAUUCAUAUGAAUGAAUGAUUUGAUACGCUUGAUGAUUUAUGCGAGUUGGUUGGAUUUCAUUGCAUAUUUGAUUUUUCAAUUUGUUCUUACUUGAUCAACUUGAAUUAAAUCUCUGUUAGAUUUGUCUUAGACUCGAGAGAGCUUGCAUAUCUAGAACGUCGCAAUCAAAUAACUAGGUUUUAGAUGUUAACCCUCAUCUGGGAGCGAAUGAACUAGUCUGUCGUGCUAGCAAUUCUAAAUCGUUAAAUCGCAUAGAGGGUUUUAGAUCUUUGUCUCGAAAGAGCAGACUAGAAUACUAGAUAGGUAGCAAAUUAGCAGAUCCGAAAGGAUGUGAUUUGAUUAGAGAAGAAUUGUGAAAGUGUAAUGCAUCUAUCCUAUUUCGUUUAAAUUUUGGAAUUUUUUUGUCAUUUUUGAAUUAGAAUUGCCUAGUGUGAUUCGACAUUUAAGCAGUUUGAUCUUUGAUUGCCUAAACUCUUAUCGUGUAGUCUUGCAACCCUGUUUACAUUAAAGCAAAUUUUCAUUUUCUUUUAUGAUUGAUUGAUCAUCGUGGACCUAAACCACAUUCAUUGAUAUGUAAAUUAGUACUAAUUACAAGUUUGAGUAAGAUACUUAAAGAGACCCUAGGAAAACUCGACCCGGUUAAUUCAUUAACCGGUUUAUUUUGAGAACGCCCAAAUUUCGUUCAUCAACUACCUGUGCUUAUUACAUAAGAGAAGUUAACACAUUCAAAUCCAAGGUAAUCUUUCCUGUAGCCCCUGUUUGUUAGGGUAUUAGUCAACUUGCAUUUGAAUAAUGCGACUAAUCGUCCACAUUAAUUCAAUUGAAUGAUAUCUUCCAAUUUCCUAUAAUGUGGGCUGAACCAUCCACCGGGUUAAUGUCUAUUGAACUAGCAUAACUUUGAGUACUAAAGUUAACAAACACUCCAUAGUUAUGUGUUUUUAGCAUCCUCUCCCGUUCCAGAGUGCGGAAUCGGUAGCCAUUCACAUCAAAUGUUGAAAACUUGGUUGCUUCUUUGAAAGAACCUCUUGCCAGCAAUUUGAAAUCAGUGGAAUGAGUCACAUCUUUAUCAUUGAUGAUCUUCAUCAAAUAUAAAAUUCAAUGGUAAUUGCUAAUUAACCAUAGUGUAGGUAACAUUCUGUAAGAAAACUACUUAUAAGACAUACCCGCCAUCUAAACCAGUUUGGAAAUUCAAGAUGAACAUUUUUCUGUAUUUCUGAGGCUGCUCUCCAUUGUGCUCUCACACCUUGAUACUUACCAUUUACUAUAGAUUCGUAAUCCUCAAUAAAUGGUCCAACACUUUCACAGUUGAACAACACAUAUCGAUGUGCUUGUAGCAUCUCGUGCUUUUUUAACUUGUAAGGCUUUCCACUCCUCACUGCUUUGCCAACUACUAGAAAAAGCUCUAAAAAUAUAAUUGAUUGCUCCUCAUCCGGUUCAUGGACCCGUCUUUCAUGAUUCAAUUGUGACUCAAUAUGACUGUGCAGGUACAACAAGCAAAAGGUGAAUAUUUCAUCUGAUAUCCAACUGUCAACAAUUGAUCCUUCUAUUUUUGCUCUAUUGCCAACAAAGCCUUUCAACUUCCUAAAAACCUACAAAUUUGAAUUAAUUGUUCAAGUUAUGUUCAAAUGGAAAAACUCUUAAAUACAAUUAUGAAAAGCAGAGAGAUAUACCUCUCAACCGGAUACAUCCACCUAUAUUGGACUAGGUUGCCAAUUCAAACUUCCUCAACCAGAUGGAGUACAAGAUAUACCAUCACAGUGAAAAAAGAUUGCGGAAAGAUCACUUCCAAGUGACACAUGGCGAGGACAAGUCGUUCUUGUAUAGUAUCUAGGUCAUUGCAAUCGACAACUCGUGCAGAUAGAGCCUUGAUGCAUAAACUGAAUUUAACAAUCAAUGCAGCCACUUGUUUUGGUAAUACAUUUCUUAAUGCCAUAGGUAACACUUCAUGUAAUAAAAUGUGUGCAUCAUGAGUCUUCAUUCCGAACAUCCUCCAUUGGUCGAGGUGGACACAACGAGAGCUGUUACUAGCAUAUCCUUUUGGAAAUGAAAAAUCCUUGAGUGUCUGUAGGAUUGUGUCAAUCUCCUGCUUAGCCAAAGUAAAUAAAGCUGUAGGGCAUCUACCAUUCUCGUCAGGUCACAAUUCCCUUUUAAUUUUCAUAGUUACUAAAUCUUUCCGUGCUGCCAGAUGAUCUUUUUGUUUGUCUUUGUCAAUAUGCAUUACAUCAAGAUUGUAUCGCAUGAGAUUGAACGCCCAAUAAGGGAGUUCAAAGAAUAUUCUUUGUUUCUUUCAUUGCUUCACCUUCUUAUCACUAUCUUGAGAUCUCUUCUUCCCGGUCUUAGGAUCUUCAAUCUUGCGAAAUACUACAUUCACAUUGUCAACUUGUCCCAAAAUCUCAGAAGCAGAUUUCAUAAUGGAUGGAUGCCUCAAUUCAGUCUUACCAUCAAAUCGAGUUCGUUGUUGUCUGAAACGAUCAGUUAUUGGUAAGAACCGACGACUCCCCAUAAUUUUUUUUUCCACUAAGUAGGAGACACAAUGGAAGUGAGUCAAAAUUGCUAGUCGGACAAGCCUGACCAGUGUGAGUGUUCCAUCCAGAUAGUAUUUCUAAACAUGGAAAAUCAGUGAUUGUCCACAUCAAUGCUGCCCUUAGUGUGAACAUUUCAUUUUUACUAACAUCAAAAGCUUAUACCCCUUCCCACAAAGUUUUCAACUCAUCAAUCAGUGGACUUAGGUACACAUCGAUAUCAUUACUAGGUUAUUUCUCCCCAGGAAUAAUGCUAGAAAGCAUAAUACUAGUCUGCUUCAUCCACAACCAUGGAGCUAUGUUGUAUGGAAACAAAAGUAUAGGCCAAGUGCUAUGAUUGGUACUCAUAGUACCAAAAGGGUUGAAACCAUCACUAGCAAGUCCAAGUCUUAUGUUCUUAGGUUCACUAGCAAACUCAGGGUACUUCAUAUCAAAAUCCUUCCAAGAUUUUGAAUCUCGCGGAUGUGUGAGAAUCCCAUCAGUAGUACUCUCGAUUGAGUGACAAAUCUUAUCCUCUGUAGUUUUAGCAACCAUGAACAACCUCUUCAAAUGUGGAAUGAUCGGAAAAUAAUGGAAAACCUUAUUUCUAAUUGGCUUCCUCUUUUGUAUUAUAGCAAUUCCCAGUUUACUAUGCUUUGGAGUCUUCAACCUAGGUUCAUUGCAAACUCUACAACUCAGAUCAUUGAUGGAACCUCUCCAAUAUAACAUGCAGUCAUUAGGAGAUGCAUCUAUUUUGUUAUAUGUGAGCCUUAAUGCUUUAACUAUUCUUUACGUCAUAUCCAGAUUUUGGAAGGAGAGAAAAAUCAAACGCCUCCCGCAAUAACUCCAGUAUCCUAGACAUAGCCUUGUCACUGAUUUUGUACAUGUACUUAAUGUGGUACAACCUCAUUAGAAAUGAAAUUUUAGUGAACUUGCACCCAGUGUAGAGCUUCUCUUCUCCAUCUUUCAUCAAACGGACGAACUCGGCAUGUUCUGUAUCCACUGCUGUAGUAUUUGACCUGGAUUCACCACCCAUAACAUCGUCUACAUCUGCACCUUCUUAUCUAACAACACCAAAUGCAGCAUGCAACCGAUCAUGCAUCACUUUUACGUGACUACCUUGAUCAGAAUCGUUGUCUACAGUUGGGUUUGAAGCACUGCCUGCCACUAUCGUUUGAUGACUUGAUGACCCCCCAUCUCCACGCUUUUCCCCAAGGAUAUCCAAAAUUUUAUAUUGAAUAGAAUGCACACCGUAAUAAGUGAUCAAAUACCUUGUCUCGGGUUAGCUUUUUAUUGCAGCAACAUCCAGGACAAGGACAAGGAAUUGAUUGAACAGCUGGCCGAGCUUGUGCAUAUGCAAAAUCUAGAAAAUUCUCUACUCCUUGUAUGUACUCUGGAGUGUUUCGUUGCAUAUGCAUCCAAGACUUAUCCAUUUUUUGUCCUAAAGACCCUAAUUAGUCAAAUUGUUAGCAAGUAAUUAGCACUCAUAAUGAUCUAAAUUAAAUUAAAGAGUAUGAGUAUAAAAGUAUUUUUGAACAUUUCAGCAUGACCCAUUCAUUUAUACUUAUAUACUCAUACUCUUUAAUCUGCACAAAUAAUAUUUCACUACAUACUAAUAGUUUCUAAGCAAUCUCAUUUCUAAUCAAUUAAGCACACUACAUACUACUAUCUUUGUAAGCAAACUCAUUUUUAGGCACAUUCCAUUAUCAAGCUACUGAAUUCCAGUUUAGAUACCAAUUACACAAUUAUAAUACAUAUGUUAAUCAACAAAGCACUUUACUACAUUUUAAAGCAAACCUAUUUGAAAACACACCACAUUACCACAAUACCAUACAUGGUUUAAGGUAUUAGACUACCAACCUCUAUGUAGAAGGAAAUCGAACAUAGAACACAAAACCAAAAAUAUCAACAUAUACCAACCUCGAAUUAGAUCCACCCAAUGCAAUAGAAGUCGAUGUGUGCUCGAUUUCUUUAGAAUAACUCCAACACAAUACAUCAUUAUCACUCAUUAGCAAUUCUAAAAACCCUAACACUAAGAACCCUAACACUAAGAACCCUAACAUUUCUAAGAACCCUAACUAAUAACCCCUAAAUUCUAUUAGGAAAUGGGAAAAUACAUAUUUACACUAUCGUAUUAUGCAAAGUUUAUAUCCGCACCCCAGUACAAUAUUUCAACCGAUCAGACACCCUAUAAUUUGAAAAACAAUUUCUAACAUAUAACCUAAUUUUGACCUAACUUACUUGAUUGAGUAGGGAUCCAAGUGCAGGAGUUUGAUGGAGGAGCACCCACCACCAGCGACCAAUAGCCGGUGACCAAUUUCAAUUAGGCAGAGGAGAAAGAUAGAUGAGAAGAAAGAAAAUGAGGAAGCAAGGGGUUCUUGCUGCUGGUAUCCCGUGUAUUUAACAACGGUUCUAAACCAUAGUUAAAUGGUCUAACCACGGUUCAUUUAACAUCGGAUAAUUAUCUGCUGUUAAAUAGAACGUGUACACCAUCGUUUCCCCUUAGCAGGACUUGGCGCUCGUUUGUGAACAUUUAACAACGUAUAUAGUCCGGGGUAAACCUAACGGCGGAUAUUAUGCUCUCUUAAAUGUUCGUUUUAAUAGCGGUUAUGUAUCCACGGUUAGCCUAUACCACACCCGCCAUUAAAUCAAACGUUUAACGGCGGAUAUAAGUCUGCUGUUAAAAUAUGUGUUGUUAGAAAGACAGAUUAUUGUAGUGAACCCUCAUCCGGGAGCGAAUGAACUAGUCUGUCGUGUGAGCAAUUCUAAAUCGGUAAAUCGCCUAGCGGGUUUUAGAUCUUUGUCUCGAAAGAGUGGACUAGAAUACUAGAUAGGUAACAAAUUAGCAUAUCCGAAAGGGCGUGAUUUGAUUAGAGAAGAAUUGCGACAGUGUAAUACAUCUAUCUUGUUUCGUUUAAAUCGUGGAAUUUGUCUGUUAUUUGUGAAUUAUAAUUGCCUAGGGGGAUUCGACAUCUAAGUAGUUUCAUCUUUGAUUGUCAACCUUAUAUCGUGCAAUCUUGCAACCCGUUUACUUUUAAGCAAUUUUCAUCUUUCUUUUUGACUGUUUGAUUGAUUUUCGUGGCACCUAAACUAUACUACUUUAUACUUCGAUUGAUACUAAUUACAACUUUAAGUAAGUUACUUGAAAAGACCCUAGAAAGAUUCAACUCAGUUAAUUUAUUAACCGAUUUAUUUUGAUAACGAGUAAAAUCCUUUCAUCAAGUAAUAACAACAAGGAACAAACAAUAAAGAGAUGAUGGAUGCAUAAACCCUAAGCCUUGAAGAUGGCCGUUUUACUUCGACGAACAAGAGCCAUUAUGUCUCCAUUACUACCACUACGGCUGCCGGGAGGGCUUCUCAUUGCCGGAUGAUCUUCUCAUUCCACCGUUCUUUUUCUUCUGCUGUGGCUGCUGUUGAUGCUGAUGAAUACUGCUUUGCUGCACCCAACACAUCCCCAAAAAUUUUAGAAAAAACAAUGUUCUAACCAUUUCAUUUCAUCCUAACAACAGAUCUGAUUUACCUGGAAAUCAAACGUGGAUGUCCUCUGCCCUUUCCCACCCGCUGUAAUCGUGUCCUGAACUGGUACUGCAGAAUUUUAUACCCACGCCCUUUGUCAAGAAACCCAUAUUACCAUAUAUACUAAUACAAGAAGCUUUAUUAAUCUUUCUUUCAGUCAAAGAAAAUGCUGUUAGUACCAAUGGAGAGACUUGCGUUUAUAGAAGAAGGCUUGUGAGUGUAUGUAUAGAAAAAAAGUGGCAACUCCUCUGCUGCCUCAAACAUCACCUUCUUGUUGCACUUAUUGCUUUUGUCAUGUCUGGAUUUCUCUGCUGCACUUACCAACAAGCUACUAAUUAGUCUUCGGCCUGAUUUGGCAGGUGAGAAGUAUGAUAGAAUUUUGAGCAUUUUCAUUUGAGCGGGAAACUUAUAUUUCAACGAAUGUAUUUUGGAAGUUAACUUUUUUAUUUUUAUCCAAAUUUCAUUCUAUUUUUCAUCUGCCAAAUCAAACAUUCGAAUUGAGUUAUUUAAGUAAGGUUUGACAUCUACAAUGAUGAUUCUCAAAAAAGUUAAAUUGAAGUGGGGUGAAAAAUGUUUCAAGUGAAAUUGUAUUUCCCAAACAUACUCAAAAUGGAAAUCAAACUUUUUAACAAUCGUUCAUAUUCCUUAAUUUAACUUUCCUUCGACUAGUCCUCCCCAACUUGAACUCAACGUCUGUUCAUUAAUUUGAAUUCAACUUUUCUAUGAAACAUGAUUUAUUCUAUUGGUCGAACCUCAACGUUACUCGAAUCAAUUGGACGGCAAAAAGAACCCUUACGUGUCCAGAGAUAGCGGGGUUGUGAUUUUGGGAAGUUGCGGCUCCAUCUUGUCCUAGUCAGUGCAAUCUUCUGUGCGUACAGUUCAUACGCAAGAAAUCUCUGGACAGAAUUAGUUUAUACAUAUGAGAUUUAAGUUAAACCGUCCUAGGAAUAACCCAUUAUAUUCAGAAAGAGUCAAGUCUUUUUACUAACUUGCUUCAAGGAAUGUAUCCUGAGUUCAGCUUCAGAGAAGCCAGUAGCAUUGUCAGAAAUGGUGAUGUUCAGAUUGGCUGAAACACUGCCCAAAUGAUCCACAACUGUUACAACGGCACUGCAGACGUACUCUUUUGUGCUCUCCAGUAUCCUGUUCUUCCAAUUUCAUGCCAACAUCAAUUAAUUAGUUUUCAUAUAAUUUUUAACAGACACAAAAAAGAAACCACAGAGGAGUCUGCAGCAAGCUAAGACUGACUUUUUCUUGUCGUUGGACUUGAGAAAACUCUUCUCGCAGUAAGCUGCUGCAUUAUGGAGCUGAGACUUCAACUCCUUAAGCUCCUGCACAAGAAAUACAAAUAAAUAAAAACCCCACCAAUGGAAAAGAAUCAUUCAGAAGAAGAGAAGCCACUAAUUCUGUUAAAAAGUAAUCACUUGGAGAGACUUGAGGAACUGAGACGGUUGGUGGUCUGAAUCCAUUUUUGAGCUCAGAAGAAAAGUGGCUCAGCCUUAUCUAUUUGUGCCUAUAUAUGAGCACCUUGUUUAUGUUUUCUACCUGAGAAAACGAUAGAGCAGAAUGGGAAAGAUGAAAUGAUAGUGUAAUUUAGUAGGCUGAUGAUGCUAUUGAACACCAUAAUAAUAAUAAUGAGUUUCAGAAGCAACGAUACACCGUGAUUAAACACUAGAGAUAACAGAAGGAAACAAAAAGGCCAUUAGAAUGGGAUUCUGUGAAAAUAGCCAAAAAAGGGGGCUUCACCCGUGAACUUUUUGUUCCUUUUUCUUCGAAAUUGCAUUAGAAACGUUAAGUCACGUUCAGUUCCUGACUGACAAAAUAUUUGUAGAAAGCCGAGGUAUGCAAUUAACUUAACUUAACUACAUGCAUCUGACAGUCUGCAUUUAAAGUUGUUUAAGCUCUGUUCCUAAACAAGGGCAUUUCCGGGUGAAUUCUGUUGCUGCUUAAUCAAUGCUCCUAGAUUCCAUUUCCCCUGAAUUCGAUGCACAAGCAUUAUUAUAAUAUAUANNNNNNNNNNNNNNNNNNNNNNNNNNNNNNNNNNNNNNNNNNNNNNNNNNNNNNNNNNNNNNNNNNNNNNNNNNNNNNNNNNNNNGGUUGUGGAUGGAGACAAGAUUGUCGACUAACAAGUUCAAAUCAACGCUCCAUCAUCCACAGCCGACUUCCGGACGACCUGCUAAAAUAAAAAUAAUAAUGUUUGAAAACUAUCCAGACAGAAAAAUUGCUGAGUAUACGCCCACUUAAUUAACCACUACUGUUUUUUAAGCACCAAAUACCACUUGCAUUUAGCAUCGAUCAGUUUCUCAUGCAACCAUUUUUUCGGAUUGAAAAAAUAGAAAAUAGAAAUAAAUAUUAUAAAAUGUGUUCAUUUCAAAGGAUUUGUAAGAUUCAAAUUCAGAAUCUUCAAACUAAACAUUAUAAAAGAUGUUCAUUUCAAGGGAUGUGUUGGAUUCAAAUCCAGAAUCUCCAAAUCAAACAUUAUAAAAAAUGUUAAUUUCAAAGGAUGUGAGGGAUUCAAAUCCAAAAUCUCCAAACCACCUAUNNNNNNNNNNNNNNNNNNNNNNNNNNNNNNNNNNNNNNNNNNNNNNNNNNNNNNNNNNNNNNNNNNNNNNNNNNNNNNNNNNNNNNNNNNNNNNNNNNNNNNNNNNNNNNNNNNNNNNNNNNNNNNNNNNNNNNNNNNNNNNNNNNNNNNNNNNNNNNNNNNNNNNNNNNNNNNNNNNNNNNNNNNNNNNNNNNNNNNNNNNNNNNNNNNNNNNNNNNNNNNNNNNNNNNNNNNNNNNNNNNNNNNNNNNNNNNNNNNNNNNNNNNNNNNNNNNNNNNNNNNNNNNNNNNNNNNNNNNNNNNNNNNNNNNNNNNNNNNNNNNNNNNNNNNUAAGAGCAAAUUUGUUUACAAACUCUGGUUUAGCGACCAUUUUGUACAGAAAGAAUAAUUUCAUCAACCCAUGCAGUACUUUCAUAGACUAGACCGGUCAUGUGUACUUUUGUAAGCAGUGGAACAAUCCAUAACUUUCAAAGUUGGAGGGGUACAUCUAUUUAGAGACAUCACCCUUCAAACCUGCUAAAUAUCAAGGUAAUAAUCCUUUUUAUUAUUAUUUAGUGAAUAAAAUAAAAUUCUAAUAAUUUUAUAAAAACCAGAGAAGGUAGGUUUCUUAACUUAAGGGAUUCAACUACCUUAAUUGGAAUAAAGGAAACUUCCUAAUUAAUAUAAAAUUAAGAAAGGUAUUUCAACACUUCUCCUCAAUCUUGACGUAUGAGUUGUAUAGGACGAGUUUGGACUUCAAAUGCUCUAACAUUUCUCGUGAUGUGGUCUUGGUGAACACAUUUGAUGUUUGUUAUGCGGAAGGAACAUACAGUACUUCAAUAACUCCACUCGAUGCCUUAUCAAAAAUGAAAACUGCCUAUCAACUUUAACAUGCUUGGUCUUGUCAUGAUGAACUGGAUUCUUAACAAUGCUUAUAGAAGAUUUGCUAUCGGUUCUCAUAACUAUAGGUCCUCUUGAUUCAACCUUUAGUUCACCUAAGAUCCGUUGUAGCCAUAUGCCUACUAUAUAUUCAGCUUCGACACUGCUUCGUGCAACCACUUGUUGUUUCUUACUCUUCCAAGUCACUAGGUUUCCCCACUGAUACGUACAGUACCCACUGAUCUUCGAUCCGUUAGUUCCCCUGCCCAGCUCGCAUCAGUAUAGACUUCAACUCCUCUAGCUGAAUGCUUCCGAAAGCGUAAACCAAGGCCUGGAGUUCCUUUUAGGUAUCUUAAGAUUCGUAGGACAACCUCCAUGUACUCUUCUGUAGGGUCCUGCAUUUGUUGACUGACAAUACCAACUGCAGGCCUUGUAUGGGCUAAAUAUAUGAGUUUACCUACAAGUUUUUGAUAUCUUUCUUUGUCAGUUGGUUUGCUCGAUUCUUCUUGAUUCCACUUCUUAUUAUGUUCCAUAGGCAUGUCAACUGGUUUACAGCCAAUGACUCCAGUUUCAAAUAGUAGAUCGAGAAUAUAGUUCCCCUGACAUAUUAUCAAUCCUUCUUUAGACCUGGCCACUUCCUUACCAAGAAAAUAGCGUAGCUGACCCAAAUCCUUGCUUUCGAAUUCUGUGGACAGCAACUGCUUUAGUCUCUGAAUCUCAGACUCAUUGUCUGCAGUGAUGAUAAUAUCAUAAACAUACACAAUUAGGAUCGACACCUUCCCAUUUGGAUUGUGUUUUACAAACAAGGUGUGAUCUGUUUGACACUGUUUGUAACCACCUUCCUUCACAGAAGUGAUGAAUCUUUCGAACCAUGCCCUAGGUCACUGCUUUCAGCCAUAAAGUGCUUUCUUUAGUAGACACGUUGUUCCUGGUUCCUUCUUAUCAACACCAUUAGGGAUAUUCAUGUAGACCUCUUCUACUAGAUCACCAUUGAGUAAUGUAUUCUUUACAUCCAGUUGGAAUAGUGGCCAAUCCUGAUUAACUGCAAGAGACAAAAGAACUCGGGUAGUGUUAGGUUUUGCAACCGGGGCAAACGUCUCCUGAUAGUCAAUUCCUUGAGACUGAGUGAAACCCUUUGCUACUAAUCGAGUCUUAUAUCUCUCAACACUACCAUCAGCCUUGUACUUCACUGGUAAAUAUCCACUUACAACUCACAAGUCUCUUCUCUUGGGGGCUCGAACUAUUUUCCAAGUCUUGUUCUUUUGUAAUGCAUGUAAUUCACUUUCAACAGCCUUCUGCCAUUCAGGGUGACUCAUGGCUUCCUCGAUGUUGCGUGGUAUUUGUAUAGUGUCAUGGUUAGUGACAAAAGCGUUGUGGGUUGACCCUAGCUGACUGUAGUUGACAUACUUCGAUAUUGGAUGCUUGGUGCACUCUUGGACCCCUUUCCUAUAGGCAAUAUGAAGGUAAAGGUCUCCAUCAUUCAUACUUUGGGAAGCAACUUUUCUUUUGUUUCUCCAGCUUCACCCAAUUCUUCCUCUUCAAGUGAGUGAUUAGACGGACUAGCUGUGUCCUCAACUGGUGUUGUCCGUCGAACAAAUGUUUUGAGUAAUGGGAGGUCGAGUACCUAGAGACACAACAUUCUCCCCCUCGGGCCCACAUCCCUCCUCAUUUACAGGACUCUCACUAUUUGGUGGAGGUGAAGGUGGAAUCGAAACAAUAUGAUCCUCCAUCGAGGCCUCACAGGUUGGUGAAGGUUGUAUCUCCUCCAUUGAUACCUCCUCCUGUGUAGAGAAGGUAUCCCACAACAACGAUUCCAUUGUAUGCCUAGGCUUCUCCCCCUGAAUCGUAGCAGCGGGAAAAUAAGGCUCGUGCUCAAAGAAAGUGCCAUCCAUUAUGUGAAAGAAUUUCUUAGAGCUAGGAGAAUAACACUUGUAUGCCUUCUGAUGGGUGGAAUAUCCAAUGAAGACACACUUGUGGGACCGAGGGUCCAAUUUUGAUCUAUGAUGCGCAUACACAUGGACAAACACAGUGCAACCGAAUACCUUUAAAGGUAGAGUCGAUGAGAAAUCAUGUAUAUGUGGAUAAGCUUGGAGAAGAACCUGCCGUGGUGAUUGGUACUUUAGGGGUCGACUAGGGAGCCGAUUGAUGAGAUAGGUAGCAGUUAGGAGAGCCUCGCCCCAUAGAUACUUGGGCACAUAACGUGUGAACAUCAUAGUUGGUGCAACAUUCAAGAGAUGUCGGUUCGUCUGUUCAGCAAUCUCAUUCUUCUCGGGGGUUUCGACAUACGAAUUGAUGUGAUUAAUGCCAUUUUCGUGUAGAAAAUACCCCAAGACAGAAUUAAAAUAAUCCUUAGCAUUAUCAAAUUUCAGAAACCUUGAUUUUAGAUUAGAACUGAAGUUGUACCAUAGUUGAGAAGGAUUUGAAUACUGAGCAUGUUUCAGACUUAUUCUUCAUGAGAAAAGUCCAAGUCAUGCACGUAUGUUCAUCAAUCAUUGUAACAAACUAGCAUGCUCCACUUAGAGUAGGGACACCACAUGGACCCCAAAUAUCGCUGUGAAUGAUAGAAAUGGUGUUGUGGCAAUAUAUGCAACAGUCGGAUGCACCGUUUUGGUGUGUUUGGCAUAUUGGCAGACAUCAUAGUUAAACUAAAUCGAUCGUUUAUUAGAAAAUAACUUGGAAAACAAUUUUUCAAGAUAACUGAAACUGGGAUGACCCAUCUGAAUAUGCCAUAACAAAAUCUGACUGUCUACACUACUAGCUUCUGAACUCUGAACUCCAGAACUAAGGGCUGAUUUGUAACUUGAUGAUUCUCCUUGUAACCGGUACAAUCCGUCCACCAUGUCAGCUUUGCCAAUCAUCAUCCCUAAACUUAAAUCCCGAAACUCACAUGAUCCAGCACCAAAUAUUAAUUCACACUUCAUAUCUCUGGUUAGUUGACUAACAGAGAGUAGAUUGCAGCUUAGUUUAGGUACGUAAAGGACAAGGAAGAGGGUAAUGGACAGUGUGACUUUCACUCGUCCAAUCCCUUUUAUUGGUGCCAAAGUACCAUCAGCAAUCCUUACUCCUGAAUCCAUGGGAUAGGGUUGGAUAUCCUGUAUGAUACUUUGAUUUCCUAUCAUGUUGUCUAUACACCCAGAAUCGAGAAUCCAUAUAGCAACACUAUUCUGAAUUUGAGCAGUAGAAGCAUAGGAAUAGAUACCUUUACUAACAACCAUAUGACUAGAUGAUGGUCCAGUGGAAGAAGUGGUGAACUUGGUGCACAUCUUCUUGAGAUGAUGGUACAGUGGAACUUCUUUUUGUUGGAAAGUGAAAAUGGCUACUUUGGAGUGGAGCAGAUAAGCCGUAUGUAAAAAACAAUGAUGCUAGCCUCAAAGAAGUUCUAAGUUGGGUUGCCCCAACUGAAUGAGCCAGGUAUCGUCUAGUUCAAAGACGUUAAAGAAAGAGCAUGCAUGUGUAGGUAUUAUGUGUGGGACUUGGACACUUGUCCUAGUUUAUUUUUACUUUUAUUUUUGGUUUAUGUGUGUGUGUUUGAGUGAGUUUCAGGAGUUAUAUGGUUUUCGAGUUCGAGUUUCAAUGGAUCAUGCUUUUUUCCUCUUCGAUUUGCUCACAGCUUCUAGGUAUUCCUAUGCAACUUUUCCAUUUCCUUCAGUGAGGACACUGUCCAACUUAAGUAUGGGGUGAGUUUGCAUAUGAUUCUUUUUAGCUAAUCUUGAUGGGUAUUUUUUCAUCUUGCAUAUUAGUAUAGUAGUCCAAAUCUCAAGCGCGUUGGAACCAUCUUUGAAUCAAUUACUUGACAUGCUCAGAAAGUUUUCCUGUGAUUUGUGCACUUGAAUUGGUGAUUUACUUGCGAAUCUAGAUUUGAUAGGAUUUUAGGCCCGUGAAAGUCUAUUGAUUCGUUCUUUAGAGUUACUUUGAUGUGUUUAAAGUAGCAUGGAGUCUCCAACUUGAUAUGACCAGACAUGCAUAUUACUGAAUUACCAUCUAGCAAAAUAAUGCAAGGCCAAAAAGACCAUAUUGUAGUAUAGAUUAUCUGCUUCAUUAGUAAAUUUGUUCUGGAAAAAAAUUGAUUUGAGUGCUCCUAUAUGUUUGUUUUAAUCCGAUACUUGCAUCAUACCGCUUUGAAUUUGCUCGACAUGCACUAAAAUAGAGUUGUUAACCUUGAAACUGUUGAAACAAAUCUUACCCUAGACUUGAGGACAUUGGAGCACAAGCAUGGUGAUUAUGUUCUAUGAACAUAGAGUCCAAUAUUAUAAUUAAAAUAACAUUUAUUAAGUGGUUAGAGAGAUUCCUAAGUUGUGAAAAGUGUAUUGGAUGUGACUGCAACUAGUAAUGAUCCUGCUGGAUUCCAUGAUGUUUAUUCAUACUUAAUCUUCAGCCGGUAUCUUGGCUAUUGCUUCACUUGUGCUUUUGAUGUGUUGUAUUAUAUUGAUCUCAUAAUUGGUUUAGAAAGUUACAGCAGCUUGUAUGUCAAAAACAUGGUCUCGGAGAGAAAGAACCUACUUAGCAGAUUGUCACGUAAUUUGAUGAUUUCGAAUUCCCUUUUCUGUCUCAAGAUAAAGAUAACAACCGUACCUGUGCAGUUCGUCAUGUGUAGCUAUGACCCUAACUCUAACAAACCAUUUCAUUUAUCAUGUUCGGCUCUUCUUACAAUCAUCACCUCUCCUCUAGCCUAUCUCGCCCUACCAAGAGGCCGGAUCAUCCUUUCCUCCUCGUUCCAUAAACACAUCAUGUCAAAAAUCUUUUGGCGGUGGCCCACCCCUACCCCUAAUAGGAGACCUGAUCCUGUCUUUCAAGUCCCUUCCCCAACGUUGAGGUGGUAUCGCUUCGGGUGCCGGUAGAGGCAGGGAAGCUAACCGCCUCUCAAACCCUCUCCUUUCAUCAAAAAUUCCAUCUGUUCCACGUCCUCCUCUAUGGCCCUAUCCUACUACAAGAGAAGACAUUCACCUAUCGAAUUUGCUCCUUCCCCUAUAGUCAUAAUCUGGAUAAUCAGGACGUUCUCUACGUAAGUCAUGGUCCGGAAAACUUCCUUCGUGUCUGCGAGGUGGAUGUCCACCCGGUCCGAAAUCCCUAGGAAUUCGUUCCCUUGGCCAAACACGGGGAGGAGGAAAUCUACAGCCAUUCAUGUUUCUGCCAGGAGAAAGAUCCAUUAGAGGUCGUUGAGGCGGUGGACCUGGAUACCCUCUUCGAGGACUUCCCCAGAACAAUACAUAGUAUUAAUUAGUAUAUUAAGUAUUUGAAAAAGAAAACUAGAGCUUCCUACAAAUAGAGUCUAAUAAACUUGUAUCUGACAAGAACACUAAGAAAGAAAAUGAGCAAUACCCAAUAAUAAAAUGACAAAAAUUACUAAAGUCCAAAUUACACGGCUAAGAAAAGCACCACAAGUAGAAAUUAUAAUCACUCCUCAAUGCUUGAUAAGAGGAUACCAUCUAGAUCUAGGUUAGGUUUGAUAAUAAAAAUCAUAAUUUUUGGAGACUAAUGUAAAAAAAUUGAUUUGAAAUAAAAAGAAGUUGUGAAAAGAAACUUAAAUAUAGGAUAUAAGGAUUUCAAAUGAAAUUUUAUUUUCCAAUUAAUUUAUAUGAAAAUAAAAAAUCCUUUUUAUCUCUUAAAUUUAACAUUCUUUUCACAACAACUCCACAAUUUCAAGUCAAUUUCCUCAAAAACUUUCCUAAAAAUUUUAAUUCUUAUUAUCAAACCCAGCCCUAAUAUAUUAUAAAACUAGGACAAAAUUAUGAUAAAAAAAAACUAACAAGGUCUUCACUGAUAAUAUUAAGGUUAAGAUAGAAACUUGCAUGGGAUCUUCACAAAUCCAGUCUCCUUCCCUGGGACGCACAUUUCGAUUAUUCCUGCUCAUGUUCUCUCCUUUGAAAGGUCCAAAACCAAGCCUUGGGCCAGGCCUUGCAAAUUCUCUCACAAGUAGCCUGCCACCAUUUCUUCAUCGGCUGGAAGGUGGCGAAAUGUCUCGGAAUCUACCUGCAUCCCUCCCACCCAAAUUUUCACUCCCUCUAGGUGGUUCCCCUGUAUGAUCAAAAUCAGAGGCAUACUGACGAACUCCAUCCCUGCGACGUGGAGGCGAACCAUAACUUGCACGAAUUCUAUACCCUUUAGAAAAGCAGUGUAGUCUAAAUAUGAGCAAACCCUUACAGACCAACAGCAAAAUCUUGUGACCCAAAGAACUUCCAAAUAGCCAAUCCAACUAAAAGCUGCAAUAUUAUCCAUAAACCAAGUAUCCAACACAAUACAAAAAAAAGUAGACAAGAGCCACCCCUUUUCCUUGUUGCUGUUCAGAUCAGUAGCCCACAUUGACACUGUCUAGUAACUGGAGCAGGAGAAGUGUAGAGCUAUUUGUCUGAUAGAUGACCCAUUUAACCCAGAGUUUCAAGAUAACUGUGUCAACACCACUUAUUCACUCGAGAUUUCUAGUCUAAAAACUACACACCAGACCCGGAACCAUUGAAAUUGGAGAACCAAGCUCUGCGUCAAACAUACCCUGGAACAACUAGAAAGAGGUCGGCAACUGCAGCCAAUCACUCUUAGGAAAGGUACCUCGAUGCAAAUAUUUCCAAAUGAGAGUAGCACAAGGGUGUAGAAGAUAUCCCAUCAGACUUUAAUGGAUAGUUCACACUCAAUAAGCAGAAGGAACGCCAACUAAAUAACAAUGUUCUUGGAGGCAAUAUUCACAGAUGUAACACAUAACACCAAAAAUUUAUUUGCGAUACAAAGAUAGUUAAAUCUACAUGGCCAACAUCUGACUAGCCAUGACCUACAAUGUUGUUGAAUUGUUUUCAAUCUCAAGAAGAUGUUUGAUGGCAUUCAAUUUUUCGUGUUCAUCGUCCUCGUUUAAGCGACAUUUCAUGCAUAUUUGUAUAGUUUUGGGUAAAAAUUUAGGGUGUUUCGUGCAUUUCUAACAUCUAUCUCGAUUUAGUGUCUGGGACCCAUUCAGGGUCAAUUUGAUAUUGUUUCGAGGUGUUUUUGAUCGGUUUCAGGCACAUAACGAUGUCGGGGCACUUUUCGAAACUGUAUGACGUGCAAAGAGAAGCAAAAUGCAUCAAAGAAUGAAUAAAUCACGAAGUUCAGGCGAUAUAUAGUGUUUGGGGACAAGCGAGAAAUAAGAUAGAUGAUUUAAGUUAUAUGGGGCGGAUAGUUGCUGAAACUCUAGGGGAACACGUCACGACGUGUUCGUCAAGGACACGACCAUGUCCUUUUCACUGGAAAUCGCGGCCAAGAAGCUGUUUUCAUAGAACACGUCAGUGUCCUAUGGAGCAUGGCGUGUUCCUUAAGGACACGACCGAGAAGCUGUUUUCAUAGAACACGUCAGUGUCCUAUGGAGCAUGGCGUGUUCCUUAAGGACACGACCGAGAAGCUGUUUUCAUAGAACACGUCAGUGUCCUAUGGAACAAGGCGUCUAACUCAAGGACACGGCUGUGCCCUUUUAUAUUAAAAUCAGGGGCAAUAUAUUAUAAUCGGAGAACACAUCCGUGUCCAUUUAGAACGCGACAUGUCCUAUGAAACACGACAUGUCCUUCUACAACAUGGUGUGUUCUGCCUCCAGACGGAGUUUCUCAACAAUUUUCCUUCUCCAAUUGGAAAUAGACAAUAUAAAUACCCCGGUUCUCCCUCAUCUGAAGACAUACUUUGGAGGAUGAAAUUGAGAGCAUUAUUGAGAGAUUUGAAAGGGAUAACAAGACAACUUUAAGGAGCUCGAAAUCGGAGAAAGGAUUAGAUGGCGAAUCAAGUUCUCAGGAAGCUCGGCGAAAUUAGGUUUUUCAUAGUUUCUUGUGUAAGCCUAAAAUCAAUGAUUUCUUCUUCUGAUUUUGAAUUGUUUUCUGAAAUCAUGAGCAGUUAAACUUCUCUUGUUUAAAUUAGAUAAACUCGGGUUAAUUCUUAUGAACGAAUGAUUUGAUUCUUUUGAAGAUUUCUGCAAGUUGGAUGGAUUUCAUUGCAUUUUUUAUUUCGUUUUUGGAUUUGUUCUUACCUGACCAACUUGAAUUGAAUCUCUAUUAGAUUUGUCUUAGACUCGAGAGAGCUUGCAUAUCUAGAACGCCAAAAUCAAAUAACUAGGUUAGAUGUUAACCCUCAUCCGAGAGCGAAUAAACAAGUAUGUCGUGUGAGCAAUUUUAAAUCGGUAAAUCGUCUAGCGGGUUUUAGAUCUUUGUCUCAAAAUAGCAGACUAGAAUACUAGAUAGGUAGCAAAUUAGCAUACCUGAAAGGGUGUGAUUUGAUUAGAGAAGAAUUGCGACACUGUAAUGCAUCUAUCAUUCUUUGUUUAAAUCGUGGAAUUUGUCUAUUAUUUGUGAAUUAGAAUUACCUAGGGGGAUUCGACAUCUAAACAGUUUCAUCUUUGAUUGUCUAAACUCUUAUCGUGUAGUCUUGCAACCCAUUUACUUUGAAACACUUUUCGUUUUCACUUUGAUUGAUUGAUUGAUUCUCGUGGCACCUAAACCAUAUUACUUGAUACCUCUAUUGAUAUUAAUUACAACUUUGAGUAAGAUACUAAAAGAGACCCUAGGGAUAUUCGACUCGGUUAAUUUAUUUGACCCUAGUAAGAUACUAAGAGAACCCGUGCCGAUUACACCAAGCCUAGUGCUGCAAAUUCCAAAUCGAGUGUAGUUCCUCCUGAACAAGAUGAUGCCAACUAUGAGAUCAAGGGGAAUCUCAUCUCCUUAAUUCAGUGAACUUGAAGUUUGAAGGAAGAACCGAUGAAAAUUCAUGUGAUCGUCUUGUGGAUUUUUAUGCUUAUUGUGAGAUUGUCAAACUUCAAGGUUUGUCCGAAAAAGCAAUGAAGCUCAAGCUGUUCAAUUGGUGUCUUCGAGGAGCCGCAAGAAGAUGGUUGACUAGUCAAACUGGAGACACAUUCAGAGACUGGGAUACUCUAGCUCAAGCUUUUGUAGAGGAGUAUUAUCCACCAGCGAAGAUGGGGGCUAUUCGAGAAUCAAUUUCUCGAAUUCAACAAAGAGAAGGGGAAAGCUUAGAUGACCUGUGAAAUAGAUUUCAGGAGCUUUUAUCAGACUGGCCUUAUCAUGGUUAUACAGACAGUCAGCUGGCAUACACGUUUACCAGAUCCUUAGAUCGAGCAAUCUCAAUGCUAGUACAUGAACUAUCAAAUGGAGAUAUAACUGAGCUCACUCCUGAAGCUGCUUUGCAACAUUUUGCUUCAUGUGCUACCAAGUCUAGAAAUUGGUCAAGAAAUACAAUUCAACCAGCACAUGUAGUAUCUUCUGACAAUUCAGACAAUAUUGCCCUAUGAGCUCAAGUUAAGGCAUUACAAAAGAGGAUUGAUAAUUUGAAGGUUGCUAAUCCCCCUACUGCAUUUGUUUAUACUUCUGUGUUUGGUGUGGUAUUUGUGAUAGCCAAUGUGAAUGUGAUAACUUCUACACCAACAAACCAAUGAUUGUGGAAGAAGUAGAUUUUGUGCGAGGAGGUUGUCCUUUCAGUCAGUAGGUAUAUCAAGACUUCAGAGCAAAGAAUGCCGGAGGCAGAAAAUUCUAACAUGCAUAUCCCCCCUCUGAUUUCUACAAGCCUAGAGUGGAGGAAUACAAUGCCAGCACUCCUCAAGGAAACUCAAGCAACCAAGGACUGCCAGGAUUUCCAGACAAACCACCUCAGCAACCACAUCAACAAAAUUCGACCACGAUGUUAUCCAGAUGAUGAAGACCAUGCAGGCGCAGUUGGCAAAUUAGAAUAUUAUUUUACAAGGUCAACAAGCAAUGAUUCAAAGGAUGGAGGCAUGCUACACAUCUUUGGCACAUAAGGUCGAUCUGAGACCUUCUGUGCAGGUCCCGGGGAACACUAAACAAAACCCCAACAACAGACAAAAGGGCACAUGGAUGUUAAAUCAAUUUCAUUGAGGAGCGGAAAGAUGAUUCAGGGAAACCCAAAAUCUGUUAAAGAACUAGAGAUGGUGUCAGAUGAUGUUGCUAUUGAAAUUCCAAAGGAGGAAGAGGAAACACUUGUGGCGGCUGCCACUCCUUCUCCUAAAGCUCGGAAGCGUGCAAACACAAAUUUUUUGCUCAUUCGAGAAGAGAUUAAGAAGCAUGCUAGGAUUCCAUAUCCUUUAGCAGUCAAGAAGAAGGGGCUAUCAUAGAAGUUUGAUAGAUUUGUUGAAAUCAUCAAGAAGCACGAGGUUAGACUAACCUUCCUAGAAGCUUUCAAAAAGAUUCCAGCAUAUGCCAAGUUCUUGAAGGAUAUGCUAAACAAGAAAAUCAAUCUCAGCCAUGCAACAGAGGUCUCCAUAUAUGAAGAAGACGCAACUAUCCUAGUCAGAUCGAUAAAGCAAAAAGACGCGGGGAGCUUUACUUUACCUUGCACUACUAAGAAUAUUAAAGUUGGUAAAAGUCUUGCUGAUCUAGGCACUAAAAUAAAUGUGCUGCCCCAUAGCUUGUUUAAGAAACUAGACAUACGUGAACCAACUGAGAUGAUUCUUUAGCUUGCUAAUAGAUCUAUGGUAAAACCUAGGGAGUCAUACAGGAUGUGCCUAUUCGAGUAGGACCAUUUGAAUUUCCUGUUUAUUUUGUUGUGCUAGAUACCCAUGAAGAUGACGGCAAUAUUUUACUAGGACGUCCUUUCUUACUUACUGUUGAAGCUGUGAUUGAUAUUUGCAAAGGGUGUUUAACAUUGAAAGUAGGAUAGGAUGAGGUGACAUUUCGUUUGAAAGAAGGCAUGAAAUACUCUAAGGCUUAGGAUGAUGAUGAUUUUCUCACAACUAUCAAGAUGCCUCUGAAAUGUUUGAAUUGUCUCAUAGUUUGUUCGAGAUGUCUGUACUGUUACAGGUGUUUAUGGAGACUGGAUGAACGACAUGGAGCAGAAGGCACAAGCAAAGGCCCUUGAAAAGCUGGAGACCUACUAUGGUGCAUCACUAGUGAUGGAACUUCCAAAGAUCCUGAAGAUAACUACAUCAUAUAAAGAGACACCAAAGUUGGAGCAGAAGCUAAUACCAGAGCAUCUUUAGUAUGCAUUUCCCAGAGAGGGCUCGAAAUUACCAGUCAUCAUCAACUCAAAGUUGACCCUCAGUAAAAGGACGAGCUUUUGGCUCUCUUGAAGAAGUAUGAACAAGCCAUAAUGUGGAAACUUGCCGACAGUAAGGGAAUCGGUCCCUCAUUUUGCACCCACCAAAUGAACUUGGAAGUUGAUGUCAAACAUGUAGUGCAACUGAAACGUCAUCUGAAUCGAGCUAUGAAGGAAGUCGUGAAGAAAGAAUUACUCAAACUCCUAGAUGCAGGUAUCAUUUAUUCGAUUUCUGACAGUCAUUGGGUUAGUCCUACAUAGGUUAUACCAAAGAAGGGUGGAUUGACGGCUGUGCCUAACAGCAAGGGAGAUCUUAUCCCUAAUUUGACAGUUACUAGAUGGAGAGUGUGUAUUGAUUACAAGCGCCUCAAUGAUGCUACAAAGAAAGACCACUUCACAGUGCCUUUCAUUGACCAUAUGCUCGAGAACCUCACCGGUCAUAAACUUUACUACUUCUUAGAAGGGAUGUCUGGCUACUUCCAGAUCCCAAUCAAGCUUGAGGACCAUGAGAAGAUGACUUUCACAUGUCCCUUCGACACAUUUACGUAUAAGCACGUCCCUUUCGGUCUGUGUAAUGCACGUGCGAUGUUUUAAAGAUGUAUGACAACGAUCUUUGGGAAUUUACUAGAAGAUGUUGUCGAAGUCUUCAUGGAUGACUUUUCAAUUUAUGGAGAUUCGUUCUCGAGAUGUCUAGCAGACCUGGAGAAGGUGCUAGCAAGGUGUAAGGAGACCAACUUAGGUCUAAGUUGGGAGAACUGCCACUUCAUGGUAGAGAAGGGGAUCGUGCUAGGCCAUAGGGUCUCCAAACGAGGUAUUGAAGUGGAUCGAGUUUAGCUCGAAACCAUCUCUCAGCUUCCUCCCAUGUGAAUGUUAAAACUGUUCGUAACUUCUUAAGACAUGUAGGUUUUUAUCGUCGAUUUAUUAAAGAUUUCUCUAAAAUUACAUUGCCUAUGAUAGGUUGUUAGAGAAAGAUGUGUUUGUAUUCGAUGAUAAAUGUUUUCAUGCAUUCGAAUCCCUCAAGAAGAAGUUGACGAUUGCGCCGAUAUUGGUCUCCCCGGAUUGGGGAGCCCAUUUUGAACUGAUGUGUGAUGCUAAUGAUUUUAGGGCAAAGGAGAGAGAAGAGGUUCCAUCCAAUCUACUUCGCUAGUAAGAUGAUUAGUGAUGCGCUGAAGAAAUACACAGCUAUUGAGAAGGACCUCUUGGCGAUUGUCUUCACAUUCCACAAGUUCAGGUCCUAUCUAGUAUUAUCUCAGACAAUGAUUUUUACUAACCAUUUUGCUCUUAGGGAGCCCGUUUUGAACUGAUGUGUGAUGCUAGUGAUUUUGCAGUUGGAGCAGUUUUAGGACAAAGGAGAGAGAAGAGGUUCCAUCUAAUCUACUUCACUAGUAACACGGUUAAUGAUGCGCAAAGGAACUACACAACUACGAAGAAGGAGCUCUUGGCGAUUGUAUUCUCAUUCGACAAGUUUAGGUCCUAUCUAGUAUUGUAUCAUACUACAGUUUUCAUUGACCAGACUGCUCUUAACUAUCUUCUAGCUAAACAGGAUGCAAAACCAAAAUUGAUUUGCUGGGUCUUACUCCUUCAAGAGUUUGACAUAUCUAUCAAAGACAAGGCGGGCACAGAAAAUGUUGCAGCAGACCAUCUUUCCUGCCUUGAAGGCCUUCUUCAUGCGUUUUGGCACCCCUCGCGCUAUCAUUAGUGAUAGGGGUACUCACUUUCAGGGUCAAUUCGAGCGGGUUUGCCAAAAAUUUGACGUAACUCAUCGAUUGACCACAUGCAAGCUGUCAAGUGGAAGUGAUGAAUCGUGACCUCAAGCGGAUUCUUCAGAGGACAGUCGACCAGUCUCGUAGGGAUUGGUCGAUUCGUCUCAAUGAAACUCUAUGGGCUUAUCGAACCGCUUUCAAGACUCUCAUUGACACUUCACCGUAUCAACUAUUUUCGGGAAAGUUGCAAUCAAGAUGGUCAAGACCUUCUGAAGUCAAACAAUCUUUCCCCUACGUGACCGUAGUGAUCACACAUCCAGACCAUGAAGCAUUAAAGGUUAAAGGUCACCGUCUUAAGCACUAUCUCAGUGCCAAGCCCACCGACGUAGUCGAAGUUCAUUACUUCGAGGAUUCUCAAUAAAAGGUCGGGUAUCGUCUAUUUCAAAUACGUUAAAGAAUGAGCGCUUCGUGGGAGGCAGCCCAUGUCCGGAUUCAGUAUUUUACAGUUUCUUUGAGUCAAAUUGCAUGUUUAGGUGUUAGUCGUUCUACUUUAGACUUUUCAUUUUCUUUAUUUUCGGAUCAUAAAUCCACUUUUGUUAUGUGUGGGACUUGGACACUUGUCCUAGUCCCUUUUUACUUUUAAUUUUGGUUUUGUAUGUGUGUGAGUGUGUUUCGGGAGAGAGUUGGCAACCGAUUUGAACUUCAUGGAUCAUGUAUCGAGUCUCUCGGAUUUCUUUCAGCUUCCAGGUUUUCCUAUGCAACUUUUCAUUUCAUUAAGUGAGGACACUAUCGAAACUAAGUGUGGGGUGGAUUUGUGUAUGCUAGUCUUUUUGGGUAGUCGUCUUGCAAAUUAGUCCAAAUCUCAAGCUUGUUGGAACCAUCUUUGAAUCAAUUACUUGACAUGCUCAGAAAGUUUCCCUGUGAUUUGUGCACUUGAAUUGUCGAUUACUUGUGAACCUAGAUUUGAUAGGAGUAUUGGCCAAUGAUCAAAAUUCUAUUGAUUCGUUCUUUAGAGUUUUUUUGAUGUGUUUAAAGUAGCACGGAGACUCCAACUUAAUGUGACCAGUUAUGCAUGUUACCGAAUUACCAUCUAGCAAAAUAUUGUGAGGUUUAAAACACCAUUUUAUAGUAUUGAUAAUCUACUUCAUUAGUAAAUUUGUUCUUAAAUUAUUUUGAGUGGUCUUCUAUGUUUGAUGUUAAUCCGAUACUUGCAUGAUACCAAUCUAAAUUCGCUCAAAAAUACUAAUGCACUAAAAUGAUAGAGGCCUAUAAGCCUUUUUCAUAACCCUAUUAUAGCCAAGAAGCCUUUUUCAUAACCCCUCAUAAUAUCAUAUCCCUUUUCAUUCAAGCCUUCAUUUGAUCAUGUGUACAUUAGUGGCAUGUAACUCGGUCGAGUCUAGGAGUCAAAGUUGCUAUGUUUUUAAAAAAGCAGGAUUAUAUAGUCUCCCUUGUUUAGUUUGAUGUAUAUGUAGAAUCUCAAAAAAUUGAAAAAAGGAAGGAGACAAGUAAAAAAUCUAGUCUCGAGAGAAAAAUAAAUAAAAAAAUCAAAAGAACACCAAGAUAUCUCGAGCUAGUUGAAUGAACGAGCAAAUAAGCUCGAAGUAGUAGUUGGAAUAAGGGAUAGACGCGAUAAUUUGAAGAUCUUGGUAGAAUUUGCUCCCUACAUAGCAUUUUUUUUGUAAUUCGUAACUUAGCUCCUUCUAAGAGUAGACCGAUAUGUACACUCACCACCAAAAGUCAUUUCACAUUCUCUUCUCUUUUUUGUCCAUAUUACAAAGCCAAACAGAAGACCUCUAGAUUAGUUCUUGAAGUGCCUUGAUGUGAUGAGUAGGAGUAGGUUGAUGUGCAAGUGCUAGAAGCGCACUUCAGAGUUGGUGAU
rnacentral:lncRNA from 1 species